rnacentral:lncRNA from 1 species
GACGGCGUUGAUGAGCAAAUUCCUGAUGUCUUUGCCUUCCAUCCUCCAAACGCCGAGACCCACUAUCGGCAUUUCGAAGCCGCUGUUAAGAGUAAUCGCCAUUUUCGAGUGAUUAUUAAGAAGCCCUUUGCGUGGUGGGAGGAGCAGCUAAGCAAACAGCUUGGUCAGCCACUCUCCACUAAGUGUGUGACUGUGUGAAGCUUUAGGUGGCUUUUCUGGGGAUGGAAUGAAGCGAUAAAGGGUAAAUGCAAUAAGUUUGGCUUGACUUCCAUUAACACCACUGAACUAUUUGUUUUAACACUUUAAUGUUCUAUACUAUUAAUUUGUGACUUUUCUUUUUCCUUGUUACCCAAGAAGGGCUGGAUUUAAGAAGUGUGGAGGGGGAGAAUUGAAUUCGAGACCUCUAGUUUUGGAUCUCAAGGUUAAAUUACUCUAAUUUGUGACAUAUUGUUUGAAUUAGUUAAAGAUCAAUGAUUUUGUUGCCAGUUCUUUAUAGUAUCGCAUUAAUAUCCAUUCAUUACAUCUAUUUAUAUCUUUAAUCUGUGGUACUAAAGUGUUAGAUAUGUGUUGCAAAAUAAUAAUAUAAGGUACUUGAAUGAAAUAACGAAACACAAUAUAAUUAGUGAAAUGCUUUAUCUGUAAUAGACAUGUUAUAAGUUCGAACAAUCGAGGGGAUAAGUAGAGAACCACUGUUGUUCCUCUUUAGUAAAGAAAAAAAAGGUAUUUGAAUGAAAAACUUGACUAGCUUUUGGUCUAAACUGCUAACCAUUUAUAGUUCAGGGAAACAAUUUGCAACUCCCAAAGGGGGCAAAAAAAGGGGAAUGUUGUACCCAUCAAUUUGAAAAAAUGUAUUUAAGGAACAUGGAUAGAAGAAUGGUGAUAAAAGCAAACUCCAAAAUCGUGCAUUUUAAAGAUUUCUACCGUGUUUAGUCGAAUGGCAGGUAGCAUUUAGCGUGGGCUAUGCCUAGUGAUUUUUUAAAAAAAUUUUGCAUCAUUUCAUGUAAAAAGAUUGUUAUAUAUACUUUAUUGUUUUUUAAUUAUGUGAUAUUAAUAGUAUUUUGUAAGAAACUUAAUUACACUAUGUGAUACACCGAAUUAAGGUUUAUUUAUUUUGUUUUUGUUUUAAAAUAUUGUUUUGUUUUAAAGACUAGAAACCUUAAAUUUUAAUCAAAACCCUAGUUCUGCUUGUGACUAAAAGGUUGUUAUUUAAUUAAGUUUAUGUAUGACAAUGCAUGUUUUAUGAUAGGUAAUUAUAAUGGUUGGGUGGUUGGUAGACUAAUGAGGUAUAAUUAAGCUUGUUGGAUUACAUUAAGUUGGUGAUCUAUGGAGUUAAUUGCAAAGAUUAGAAGUUGUUGGGGCCAUAGUGUGAGGAUUAGCAAAGUAAGUUUACUAGUAAUCUUAAAGCUUCUAGGAUCUUCCCAAGCUCAAUUUUGAUUGGUGGAGAAAAAGUGUACUUUGACUUUGGCUUAAGUUGUUGGUCAAUCAAAGAAAAACAAAACCAAAAACUAAGAGGAAAAAAGAGAGAGAGGGCCGAGAGCUUCAAGGGAGGAACAAGAGAGAGUUUCAACUUUGGGUUCUUGAUUUCUUACUCAAUCUUGCAAACUAACCGAUAGAUUCACCAAAUAAUCCAUAGAAGUUGCUUAGGAAGGUGGAUUGCUAUCUUGGAGUGGAGUGUUUUGGUGGUUCAAGCUUCCUAGGGGCUGUUGUGCUUCUCCAAAUCUAGGUAAACUUCGUAUUAGUUCAUGGUUGUGUUAUUUAUUGGUUUAUAAGUGAAAGUUAUGGCUUGGUUAGGUAGAUUUCAUGAUUUUAGUGGUGGUUAUAGUAAAUUCCAGUUUUAUAGUGUAAUUUCCAGCUUUGAUUGUUGGAAUGGAUGGUUGUUCUUGGUGUUCAUGUUGUAGUAAUGCUUAUGCUUAGUUUAUGGAAGUGAAUUCAUGGUUAAAAAUUGUUAAUUUUGUGGCAUAUAAAAUUCGGCCAGCAAGAAGGGUUUGAAUUAGGGUUUUGGUUGAUGAAUUUAUAUGUAAUCUUGUGUUUAUGAUGUAGUUGUAGCUUGUGUUGCGAAAUUGUUGUAAAUUUGGUGAAUUUCCACUUGUAGCGGAAAGUUUAGCUCUUAUUCAGAAAAUUCCAGCUUUGAGUUAGGGAUUUAAGUUGAUUAUUGAGUGGUUAGCUUGGCUAACUACGUAUACGAUGUGAGAACCCGAAAAUUUUCUUAUUUUCUAGACGUUAUUUUAUUUAAUUAUAUGUCUUUUCUAUAUUUUCUUUAUUAGAAAAAUCUUCUAAAUAAUUUUUAUGAGUAAAUAUGGUUUUUAAAUCAUUUUUCUAGUAUAAGUUAGUUCAUGAGAUUUUAGGAGUGUAUAUUGGACGUGGGACCCGCUAAUGCGGUAGGUUUGAUAAAAUUCGGCCAAUUAGGUUAAGUUUUAUAUAUAGGGAUUAAUUUAUUAGGUGUUAAGAGAUAAUUAGAGAUUACCCAAAUGGAUUAAUGUUGGAGAGAUAAAAUGAUAGCUUUGAACAAAAAAGGUGAUAAGUGUCACUUUGUGAUUAAAGCGUGGAUUUUGACCAUUUUACCAACUUUACUAAAUAACCAAGAAAUUGACCCAAAAUUCAUCAUCAUACAUCUCUCUCUUGGCUGACUCUCUCAAGAAGAAAAGAAAGAAAAACCUUCAACUUUCUUCAUCCAAUCUUGCUCAAUUUCAUAAUCUAACCGUUUAAACUUCAAAUCUCUCCAUAAAAACCCUUAACUAGGAAGUAUUGAAGUAGUUGGUGGAGUGGUUUGGAAGGAAGAGGUGUCAAGUUGCUUCUUUUCUUGAGGUUGCAAGGUGAGUAGCGAAGGAAUUCUUUCUUUGGUCUUGAUAAUGUUAAAUUAGUGACUUGUGUUAGUUAAAGAAGUGAUUUUGUGGAAGAUUCCAUGACUAUUGGUAGAGAUUGAUGAAUUUUUAUUUUUAUUCAUGAAUUUUCUGUUUUUAUAUGUUUAAUAUUGGUUGGCCAUGGAUGAUGGCUUGGUAUGGUCUAGAAUGAAGCUUUGGUGUGUUAAUUGUAGCUAUUUGCGAAAAAUUUCCGCUUUGUAUGGAAAAUUUCGGAUUUAGGGUUUUGAAUUAGGGCUUUUCUAGGGUUAUUGUGGAGCUCUUGAAUUGGCUUUGUUUAAAGGGUAUUGUGACCCUAAUAAGUUGUAUUGAAUGGCCUAUAACUUGCAAUGGUAAUUGUGGUGGUGUUUGGGAAACAUAAGUGAGUGAUUGUAGGUUGGAAAUUCGAAAUUAUAAGGGGAAAUGCUGUCCAAAUUGUGGGUUCAUAUGUUUUCUUGGAUUUGGGUUGCUUUAGGGGUUAAUUGGUGACCUUAGAGUUGUCUAAAUUUUUAGCACCAAGUGUACCUUAUAUUACCUUCAUGUUAUUACGGCUUUACAUUAGUGAUGUGCGGUUCGAAUUUAUGACUCGUAAUCGAGUCUCAUUGUGCUUUAUUGAAUAUUUUAGGGCGUGCCGGUGACACAAGGCGUUCGUUGGACAGAAAUUUGUGAUAACUCUCUUUGCUUGAGUGGUGAGUGUACUACUCAUAUGAUUGUUACUUCGUGGCUUUGAUAUAUUUGAAAUCUAUGACUUGAAUGUUUGUGUAUAAUGUUGAGAUUGAUUGAGACGAGGGUGUACUUUAUCACUCUCGCACUCUAUGUCUUACGUGAUUGUUUACUGUAUCAGUUGAAUGUCACUUGAAUAUACUUGAACUAGUGUUGUUUGGACGUGUAUCCAACGACCUUUACUGUUAUCAUUGAGCUUAACCCCAUUGGUGGUCAAUUGAAUCGAGUCGGCCAGGGCUUGGUCGACAAAAUUGACAAGCCAUGGGGACUGUUUAUGUGGAAUCCUUGAGUAUGAGACUCUUGAUUCCGGUAUACUCAAGUAUUACCAUUUCUGAACUGAUUGGAGUUCGGGCCCGGUAGGGGUAUGAGAGGUGGACGAAAAUUGGAGAAAAGUGGAGUCUACAGUAUUGGUCACUCUUUGUACAUUGACGGAGAGUCAAUGAGGUGAAAUCAAGUAUGGCAAGCGAGGAAAAGGGCUCUUGAGAGCCGUCCGUAUCCUUUUACCAAUCUUUAUUGAAAUGUGGUGUUAGUUAACUCCUUUAUUGAAUGAAUUUGGAUUGAUUAGCGUUGUGCUUACAUGAACUUCAUUACUUGGGUGAUGAUACCUCAUUGGGCGAAAACUCACUCUAUUGCCUUUGUUUUCCUUACAGGGAUAUGAAUACCUUUUGGGGAACUGUGAUUUUGAAACCGAGUUGAGAUAGUUUAAUAUUAUUCUUUUGUAUAGCUCCUCGAUGGUGGGAAAACCUUAUAUGUAUUUUGACUUAACAUUCCCUUUUGAGUUGUAAAGUUGAGACCAUACGUGUAUAAACGUGUUUGGUAUUGUUCAUAUGAUAUUUUGGUUUGUAAAUGUCUUAUUUCAAGGUUUAUAUGUAUUGUUGGUGAUUGAUUGGAUUUCGGACAGAUUCCGGUUUCAAACGACAAAAGAAAAAAAACUUGGCGGGAAAGGGCACAGGCGAAUCCGGCCGAGAAUCCAGCCAGAACUUGGCUUGAUUGCUAGCCGGAUUGUCCUGAAAAUUUUUGAAUCCGAGCAGUUGCUCACUGCCUCCAAUCCGGCCAAGAAUUCGACCGAAAAUCCGGCCAGAUUCCUGCCAGAUUGUGACGUGGCCGACAUUGUUCAUGUGCGGCUCCGAUUUUCAUUUUUUUGUUUUGUGGUUUUUGAUUCGUUUAAGCGCGCUAUUACCUUCCGGAACGUUUUAGAUUGUAUUUAAUUGCCUCGUUAGUCCUGGCGAGAAUUGGGCAGGCAGUCCGCUAACCCCUUUAGUACGCCUUAGGGGAAGGUGGGGCUGUCACAUACGAAAUGUUAUAAGUGGAAUGAAUGCUAAAUUGAUGUAUGUUCGAUUGCCGCGGAAGUUUUCAGCUUUGGUUUGGUAAUUUCAGCAUUUUGCUUGGAUUGUGAUUGAAGAACUUAGCUUGGUAUUGCUUUAAUGGUAGCUUAGAUGUUGGUUUAUGAUGUGUUCUUCUUGAUUUGGUGUAUUUGGUGUGUUGAUUAGUACAAGUUAGUCAUGAGUGAGAAACCAGAAAAAGAAGCAAGGUUUGUCAAACCUGUAAUUUCGGCUUUGUUUUUCACUUUGAUCUGUAUCAAAUCAGAAUUUGGCCAAAACACGAAAAUUUUGGUCCUAUGUUUCAGCUUUCCAACGCAUCUAAAAACGCCUCAAUCGGAAUUUUAUAUCCUGAGUUAUUGCCAUUUGAAUCCAGUUCUAACAAACAAAUUGACAAUGAAAUUCUAGUUUUGUAAUCUGCAAAUUCGACCUGGAUCAACUGAAAAUUCGGUUGACUUGUCUUCAUGAAAGUUGUAAUCCUUUGUUUUGGCUUCAAAACGCUACCUAGUACACCUUGAUCUGAUAACCACAGCUCCAAUUAUGGUCGAAACCGUGCAAUCCAUUUUCAUACUGUUUUCUGUCGCGUGCACCGUUUUCAUUUCCCCGGGUGCGCAUGCGUUUCUUUGCCGUUUUGGCCGUUUUAGUCCUUAUUUCUAUUAUGAUGGUUGUUUGACUAAUAGUUAAGUAUAAUCUUCUAUCACAGGCAAUGACGACCUGGACGGAGUCGGUGGACCCAUAUAAAUUGCCUUGAUUUGCUUGCUAGUUAUUUUGGGUGAGUAAUUGGGUUUGUUUAUGUAAUCAUGUGACGACCCCACUUCUCCCUAAGGCGAACCAGAGGGUUGGCGGGGUCGCCUGCCCAACUCUCGCCAGGACUCACACAAGCAAACCGACCAAUUAUCCACGUAUAACUUAAACCAAAACACAAUUCGCCAUCCGAACAUGCCAACCUUUAAGCGACUUGAAUACUAAAACACAUUAACUUCAGAGAUAACCUUACCAUUGAACAUCCACCCGUUCACUCCUAAAUACAUCUCUGACCAGAUCACCACAUAAUCUCAAAAAUACAAUGCAAACCACACAGUAAGUUCAUAAAGCUCAGAUAAAAUUCAUACAAGCCAAAUCUUAGGGUUUGCACUUUUCCAACUUCAAGUGGCAACCCAAAACGAAGAUACAAGUAUGAUUCGAAAUAACAUUUACAAAACGAUAAAAUAGACUUCAAGUCUCUCGAUUUCCGGAACCUGUUAAGGAAAACAAAUAUCGUGUGGUGAGCUAAAGCUCAGUGAGGUUCCGAACACAUAGGCAACAAGAAAAUCAAUGCAUUCAUUAUAUAUAACCAAUAAUUCAAGAGACAAAUACAAAUAAAGUAAUAAACACGUUCAUGAAAAGGAUACGGGCUCACAGGGAGCCAUAUGUUCGUUCGUUCGUUCGUUCGUUCGUUCUCCUGACAUUUCCCCUUAUUCCUCCAGUCAUUUGCAAAAUGCAUUUUGUAUAAGUAAAACCCCUCGUUCAUUCAUUCGUUCAUUCCUUUCAUUCACCCCGUCCCUGGCUUUUGGCCAGGCUCCACCAACCUACAGGGUAAUACUCGAGUAUACCGAAACGUUCACCCAGAUCCCUAAUCGCUCGACCGAGUCCGACUGGCUCGAGACGACCGGUAACAAGGGGCAAUGGCCAGUUCAGCCCAAAAGGGCCUACAUUCAUGCACAAGUAAUAUGUCAAUCAUUCAAUCAUUAAAAUUUCAUAAUCAUUUAGGCUAAGUGCGAUAAAGUACACACUCGCCUUGAAAACUCGUUUUGACAAUCAUUGAAAGCAUUUAACACAUUAUCAAGCAAUAAGAUCAAACCAAUAAGCCAAAGAAAUAUAACAAAUAAGGAACACUCACCAAGAGUGAAGUUCAAAGGUCAAGCCGGGAAUCGUAGUCCAAGUCCUCGCUAAAUCCUAGAAAUCCAAUUUUCAAAAACUAUAAGUUUUACCAAACAAACUCUUGUUUUAUAUAUAAAAGGUUAUCUUAUAAAACUAAUUUAAUUUCUCGAAACAAGUUAUUAAAUUUCUAAAAAUCGAAACUAGUAAAGAAAUAAAAUGUUUCGUGUGAUUUCUUUUAAAGAUAUUUCCCUCUAGAGGCAAACUAUAACCAAAUUGCUUCAAACGGGUUUUCUUGCCAAAUAAGUUUUCUAUGCCAUUUAUUUGAAAUUAUUCAAAUCUAGUAUUUUUUCCAAAUUUCCUUUAAAACAACUAGUCAAGAAUAGUUUUAUGAAAACUUAAAGUUUAAAGGUUAAAUACAAUUACUCCCUAAAGGUAAUAAAACUAGUUUAAGCAAAAUAAAAGAAUUAACUAGUCGGCAAGGGUGUAAAAGUCCCGAUAUCUAAAUUUUAAUAUUAAUGUACCAUACUAUAUAUAUAUAUAUAUAUAUAUAUUUACAGCUUGCUAUUAAGACAAAAUAUACCUACAAGGCUUGAUUUAAAGGUAUUUGAAUUCAAGAGAUUAAAAUGGACUUUACGAUUCCAAUUCAUAUGCACAUUGUAUUCCAAGUUGCCAAUAUAGCUAAAACGCAACUCAAAUAUAAAUCUCGCUAGGGCUUCAUCAAUCAUUAGCCCUAGGUCUCAACAGAUUUUAUUCCAAACAAAAUUCAGCAAAGGAAGUCCAAGGUAUCACAACAAAUUCCAAAUCACAAACCAUAGACCUUCCAAGCACAUUUCAGCCUACCACUUGAACAAAUUCACCAAAAUUUAAUAUUCUUGGACAAAUUACUCAAGUGGCCAAGAGCUUCUUCAAUUAUUAGCUCUUGACAUCAAACAAUUUCUUUCAAUCACAAUUCAACCAGGAUUUCAAUCUAAAACAAGAAGAAAACCACAACCAAUCAUGACUCCCAAAUAAUUCUAAGAUUCAGAUUUUCUUUUCUUGUUUCGAUAGUCAAGAGAAUUCCAGCAAAUUUCAAUCCAAGAUGUCCAUUAGAUCUCCAACUUUUACUUGCUAGAAACACUAAACGUAUAGCUUAUAAUCUGUCCAAACCAAGCUAAAAUAAAUAAUACACAAAUCCAACAAAUAAACUCACUAAAAGUCCCAACCAAUUCAGCCAUGCUGGAAAAUAUUUUCCUUCAAAAUUUGCUUUAGUUCAUGUUCCAAUACACCAGCUUUUCAAGUGUUACAAUCAAAAUUAGGCUAAUUAAACAAAUCAGUCCUUAGUCAUGCUCGGCAGAAGAUUGACAUCAAACCAGAAUUUCUUAGGUUCUUUAAUUCAUCAAUUAACUUCAUAGAAUUAACAUGCAGGGUCUUAGACAUCAUGAACAUUGAGUUUCACUCGGCUACUUACACUUGAGAGCUCAAGUGAUCACAAGCAAACAGAAUUUCAGUUGCAUUACCAUACCAUUCUUCUCGGCAGAAUCAUGCACAACCAAAACAGAAUUUUCUAAUCUCAUUAGUUCCUUAUCUGCCAAUAUCUUCAGUUGAGGCCUUUUUUUUUUUUAUUUUGCCCUCAAAACACACAUGCACAAUUUCUGGGUUAAUUAGUUAACAAGUCAGUCCAGAAAUCAGCUCGGCAGCAAUCAAUUUCCUCAAAACAGAAUUUUUCCUAAGCUUCUCAAUGCGACAUCCGAACACUUAGAUUAACAUGCAUGACCUUGAACAUCAUGUUUAGUGUUAAGUAACCGCAUACAUGAGCUCAGAUUACCUCAGGGAAAAAUUUUAAAGCUGCAAUUCUAGUUCGGCUACUCGGCAGUCUGCAUAAUCAAAAUUCCAGCAGCCUUGAUCUUAGUUUUUCCGGAUUUUUCCUUGGAUUAUACGUGGAUUUAGAUGCUCAAGAUUAACAUGCAAUACCUUAGCCUCUGAUUAACAUUUUUAGUUUAGAAAUCGAUUUCAAUAACAACAUCUUUCAGCCAAGAUUUCCAGAACUUAGUCGAUCAUCCACGGUAGCUUAAAUGUGACCAGAUGUUAAGUCCAUUAAAAUUUUUCUAGCUAAUCCCUGCUCAUUCGACAACUGCAAAGCUUAAUCAACCUCUUAACCAGUUUCAUUGGAGUUCAGAAAUCACCUCACAGCAAGCUAAGUUGUCGGACAGAAAGUUAGAAAAGUUUCCUUCCUCUCGGCUCUCACACACGAAGCAGAAUCUGGUUGCAGCUGGUGGUUGUUGGUUUAACAAAGAUGGUGAUGGUCAGCAACUCCUACGCCCUCCACUAGCUCUCCCCUUUCUUUCCUCUGACUCACGAACAGAAAUGGUAGAUGUGUAGCUCGCCCUCUCGCUUCCUCUCGGUCGAUGAUAACAAGGAAAUGGUGGGAUGUUAUCUGUUGUAGGGAGUGUGCAGAGGUUAUGGGGUGAGAUUGUGGAAUGGUGCUGCGGUUUUGAGGUGGUUGAGUGUCGGCAGGGAUGGUGUAUUGCAGUGGUGAAGGUGCCGGUUGGUCAGGCUUGGGCGGUGGUGUGUGGAAGUGGUGAAAGUUGUGGUUGGCCGGCUGGGUGGUGUUGUGAUCAUGGUGUCCGGGGAGCUGUUUGGCUUUGCAGAAAAUGGUCAUGGCCGUGGGUGAUGUUGUGAAGCUGUGAGGGUAAUUUAGACUUUUCACUACUUCUCCAAUUAGCCACUUAAGUCCUUGGUCCUAGCUUAGUUCCAAAAAUUGUCCCCAAAAGUGAUUUGAACGCCUAAUUGAAUCGCUAAUCUUGCAAGACUUUGGUUAUCGAAAUUUUAGGUCCUAAAUAUAGUUAGAGUACUUGUAUUAUUUCUAUCUAAAAUUUAUUGAUUACGAAUUAGUAUUAAGCUUCCUUAAUGCUUAACAUUCUUGUUUGAUUAAUUAAACUAUUAAAAUCAAGUUUGACCAAUAUAUAUAAAUCUAACAUUUUAUGUUAAUACGAAAAAUUUAAUCUAGCUCUAAAAAUCUUAACUUAGUUUAGCGGAACCAAGGAAUUCAUAACUUAGAAAAAUUAUAUAAGUUUUCACAUAAACGUGUUUUUACGUACUUAAUUGCAAACAAGUAAAAGUAGUACUAGGACUUAUUAAAGAAUAAAAGGAAUGCAAUUGACAUACGAAAUGUUAUUUAUAUAAGCAUUUUCAGGGUUCUCACAAAUCAAUUGUCAAAAUGCUUUGUAUAUGUUAAAUGGAUACUUAGACGAGCGUGUACUUUAUCUCACUGGAUCUAAACCCAUUCUCUGUUCUUGAUUUAAUAUGUGAGGAUACAUGCUUUGAGUUGAAUUGAACCCCUUGUGCUGUGUGCCGUUAAGGUGAUUAUAUGACUUGAGUAUUUUGUUGAGUACCUUGUUGAGAGAUUGGAUAUCUCAGGGUUUGGUUCCAACCUGGUUCCAGGGGUAGACGGACUAUUCGAGGCUACCGGGGCUUGGUCGAAGUCAGUUCUAUACUAACCUUGGGAUUUUGUUCUUUAUUAAAGCAAAGUGGUUUUGCUUUUGCUCGAACUGUUGUGUGUUGAUGACUAGCCAGCGGGGGUUAAUAAGAUGAAUGGAGAAAGUAAGCGGAGUCUACGAACCAUGAGUAUUUUGGUUGACAGAGAGUCAACAGGCGGUCAAGCUAGGGGAAGUGGACUGGUUUUGAAGCCACUUGAAUCGUACAAUUGUGAUGUUACAUUUCUGUUUAUUGAUGUGAAAUAUCUGUUUAUUUGGAUGUGAUUUUACGUUUUUACCCUGAUUACUCUCUAAGCAUAUAGUUUACCCCAUUCCAUUUGUUUUCCUUAGUAGGGGCGACGCGGGGAUCGCUCGGGAAGGUGUAUAGUAUAGGUGACUUUUGGUUUAUAGAAUCGUUGAUUUUUGCCCUAGUACUUGUUAUAAGUUGACAAGUAAGAUGUAUAUAUUUCUUGUGACGGUUAUAGUUCGUAGCUUCUUUAGGGUUUAAUUUCUUUUACUAGUGGUGUGUAUGGCUUGAUGUAGUAGUUUUAUACAACUUUUGAAAAUGAAAUAGCAUAAAUAGAACUCUCUUUUAGCGUGAAAUCUAUUUUCUCAUUUUUAAGUAUUGAGUCCUGGCGCGAGUUAGGCAGAAGACCGCUAAACCCUUUGGUACGCCUCUGGGUACGGUGGGGUUGUCACACACUAGAGAUCAUUUUUUAUUAAAAGGGUAAUUAUUAUGAAACAAUUAAAAGUAUGGAUGUCCAUUUGUAUUCUCAAGAGGACUAAUUCAUAAUUCAUUGAUCCCAAGGAGAUUAAUUCAUAAUUCAUUGCUACAUCAAGUAAAGGAAUUACAAAGGAGGAACGGUUUCAAUCCAUAAACCCAUUCAUGUAUUGGAAAAACCGUUUCAUAGACUAUUCAUGUUUUUGUAAUAAUGUGUGUUUAAUAGAAUUGGUGUACCUUUAAUUUUAUAGUACCUAUAUAUAGAGGUACCUUGGCACAUCUUGGUUGUAUUUUUUAUUAGUUGGUAUAAUAAGAAAAUCAUUCUCCAUUUCUUUACUUCUUUCUCUAAUAUUUCAAUUCCUAUUAUAGUAGUUUAUUUUAUUAGUUUUAUAACACGUUAUCAGCAUGAGUCUCUACUUUUAAGCAAAAAGUGAAAACGGAGUCUCUAACAAAGGUGAAACACGAGACUUUGUCAAAAUUCUGCUAGUUUCAAAUCAGCUGUUGGAUUUUUUCUCGAGUAACAAUUGUCUACUAUUGAGGUAAAUUUCUGACCCACAAACUUAUUUCAAUUUCUUAUGGCUAACAAUUGAUUGAUUACAAAAUACAAGUGCCUAUUGUUGAGCAACCACUAAACAUAUACUGUUUGACAUCUUUGAUGCAAUAUUUUUUUAAUUCUACUUAUUUAUCUUUAGAAUUAUUUGUUGUAAAUAUUUAUAUUUUGAUGCAUUGAGUUUUGGAGAUGCUAUUAUAGAAAAUCAAUAUGUUUAAGGGUCCACUUAUCCUUUGAAAUACUUUAAGAAAAAGAUUCGACCACCUGAAAAUGGUUGUUCUUUAAUGAAAAGAUUUGGCCACCAGAAGAUGAUCAUUAUUUCAAAAUCUGAUAUGAUAAAUUUACUUAUGGCUACAAGUACACAAUUCUGCUAUGUUUAGAAUUAUUUCUUAAUUGAAAAUAAUAUUCUUUACAUAUUUCUCAAAUAUGCUCUUGUAGUAGCAAUAUUGAGAGAAAAUUUGAGAAGUAUUAUGUACUUAUUGCAUGUAGUUCUAAUCCAUUCCCAAAAGUGAAUGCAACUAAAUUUCAAUUCACUAGUUAUGGUUGUUGUCAUGACUAUGAUUUUAGUAAAUAUGUAUUUUACUAUGACAAAAGAAAAAGUUACCACUUGAAAUGGGAUAAUAAUGAUAAGGAAAAAAAAGUAAGGAUCCUAUAGAUAAAUGUCCCGAAGUACAUUUGACGAAUCAAAAUUAUAAUAACAUUUUCAUAUGUUAAAUUUGUUUAAAUGCCUUGAAGGUGUAUGAUGAUUGAUUUAAUAUAUGAUAGUAAUUGAUUUUUCUUUUUGAAGAAGAAAUGGAUGUUAAAUAUUUGGGAUCAAAGGAUUAUGGUGAUGAUUUUGUCUCAUAAGAAUUAUGGUGACAAUGAUAUGUGUCUCAUUAAUAAAUGCUACUGUAUACACUAUAUUCCAAUAAAAGAGACAAAUACAAUCAGUGAUAGUGCUUAAGUAAUUGAAAGCUCCAGAAGAGCCACUGCUCUAUAUUUCUCCUUGUAGGAGAAAAAUUUAUCAUAAAUAAAGUACUACUUUUAUUGUGUCCCGAAAAAUUUAUUGAAUUUGAAUAUUCGUCGAAAUGGAUAUCAAAUUGAGACACCAAAUGAGACAAUAAUAAAGAUCAUGUUUAGAAAUCAAGUGAGAUAAAGGUUGAUUAUAUCAUAAUAAUCAUUUAAGAGAAAUGAUUAUCGAUAUAGUUGUUUUCAUUCUCAUUUGAUUUAUAAUCAUCAUUUGCAGUAAAUCAGAAGUUUACUAUUCCUAAUGAAUAUAUGAUUUGGCAAAAGUGAGAAUAUUUGAGAGUCGACAAAUAUUUAUACAUACCCCUUUAAUAUUAUAUAUGGCUUCAAAAAAAAUUUAAAAUUUAUGUUGGAUAUGAAUCAUCUUUUACGAUUAAAUAUCAUAAAAUAUUGAUGGGUGAUUUAUUGAAUGAUUUAUUUAUUCUAAUGAGCUACGAUUCCCGACGUUAGGGGGAGGAAAAAAUCAACUGAAAGAAAAUCAUUUGAAAAAUUGGAUCAUUUGUAGUAAGUUACAAAUCAAUUGUCAGAUAUAUUUUUCGACUCCAAAAGAGUCAUUAAAUCAACUAUUCCUGUAGGAAAUACUCUGGUUAUAAUUGAUGUCCCUGAAAGACAUGUACAAGUGCUACAAAUAAAUUUAAGGCCGGCCUAUCUAAAUAAGGUAUAAAUUGAUUUCAAAUAUCUUCGGAGAUUAAAUAAAUGUCAUGACAAAAUUCAACCUCUUGAAGAGGUUGCUCUUGAAGAGAAUGAAAUCAUAGAAAAUUUAAUUGGAGCCUAAUGAAAUGUAGCACUUGAUAUUAUAGAAGUUGAUAAGGAUCAUGAAUCUAGAUCGGUUGAUGAAUAUCGGUAUAAAAAUGAUUGGCCAAAGUGGAAAGAUGUGAUCCAAUCUAAAUUGGAUUUAUUGGUUAAAAGAAAACUUUUUGGACUUGUAGUCCAAACACCUGAAGGUAUAAAGCCAGUAGCUCAUGGAUUUUCACAAAAGUCUAUAUUUGAUUAUAAUGAAACGUAUUCACCUGUCACCUAUAGUGGAUGCUAUCACAUUUAAAUAUCUUGUGAGUUUUGCAGUACAUGAAAAACUAGAUAUGCGUCUAAUGGACGUCGUUACUGCAUAUUUAUAUGGAAAUCUUGAAAAUGAUAUUUAUAUGAGAAUUUUCGAAGGAUUCAACAUGCCUAAAGCAUGCAAAUCAAAUUCUAAAGAUAUUUAUUCUAUUAAAUUACAAAGGUUUUUGUAUGGACUCAAACAAUCUGGACGUAUGUGGUAUAACCGCCUCAAUGAAUGUUUGACUAAAAAUGAUUAUACAAAUGAUCCAAUAUGUCCAUGUGUUUUUAUCAAGAAAAAUGGAUCAAAUUUUGUGAUAAUUGCUGUAUAUGUUGAUGUUCUAAAUCUGAUUGGAACUCCUGAAGAGAUUCAAAAUAGUGUUGAAUAUUUGAAGAAGGAAUUUGAGAUCAAAGAUUUUGGAAAAACAAAAUUCUGCCUUGGUUUACAAAUUGAGCAUUUGAAAAUUGAAAUUUUUGUCCACCAAACUGCUUAUACUCGGAAGGUAUUAAAGCGGUUUUAUAUGGAUAAGUUUGUCAUUUCCUUCUGGUUUGUAACAGGAAAUUAAGGACUAUGAGGUGAACUGAUGAAGAUUUGUACUUUUAGCAGUUUCAGAUUGAAUGUGUCAUAGGAAUAUUGCCAUAUCCAUACAAUUGUGACUUGACAUAUAAAUGGAAGUCUUAAACAACCUAUGAAAUCGAAUCUUAAUUCAAGAACCUGUCGCGCCCCAUUUUUUGAUAAAUAAAUAAAUGGUUUAAAAAAUGUAUUUUUGUGAUUGGAAAAUGAAUUGUGAUUUAAAAGAAAAAAUGGGUCUAAAUGGGGGGUUGAGAAUGCGACGAUUUGACCCAAAAUUAUAGUUUAAAAAGGGUUUUUGAAAUAAAAAUUGGAGUCGCCACUUGGUAAUGAGUUAAGGUGUACCAAGUCACCAAAAAAAAUGAAUUUUUAAAGAAAAAAUAGGAAAAAGUAGUAAGAAACCCCUUUUAAACGACUCCUAGUCCACGUAAACCAAAGAAAAAGGUUCGGGAGUCACAUUUGACAAAGGGGAAGGCAAGGAUAAAAUCCAAGGCACCCCUUUGACCUAGCCAAGGCUAGUUGCAUGAUUUAAUCAAAGAUUUUCUUGUUUUAACCCAAGGAUUUAUUACAUUUGGAUGCACUACAUGAAUGCAAACCCUAGACCUAGGGGUAUUGGGGAAAUUUCUCUUCAAAGGUUGAGUGGUGCCAAUCACACUAAUUGUGAAGCCCAAUAACAAUCCUUUGAAGAAGUCACGAAUAAUGCGAGUGGGAUGCAAAUGAAUAGAAUGCAUGUAUGCAAUGUGAGGACAUGAGUUUGAAAAAGUAAUAAAAAACAAUAAAUAUGUAAAUGAAAAUAUGCACGUGAGUGGACAAAGUACGGUAUGUGCAAUGAUAAUAUGAAGUGCAUGUGUGCAAGUGAUGAUAAAAGUGUUCGUGUGCAAGUGAAGAAACAUAAAGGUGCACGUGUGCAAAAUGGGAGGAAAAAUGAAAGUGUGAUGAGGGUAUAAAAUGGUAGAGUGGAUUUAAAAAAUGCAUGAGUCUAGGGAAUUCAUGCAUAUUGGGUACAGGGAGACCUAAAUCGUGACUCAAUUUGCCCUUUUAUAGAGGGAAUACAAGCGUGCUAAGGCUUAGAAAAAGCCACACUCGUCUAUAUCCCAUAUUUAAGGGGACUCUCAAGCAAAUGAACCCUAUAACUAGUAUGAAAUGCAAAAAUCCUAAAAUGGAGGGAAAGGGGUUCGGGAGGCAUGCAAAAUGAUAAAACUAAAAAGAAUGCAUGACAUGUAAUGAACAUGCAAACAUGUACUAACGAGGGGAAAUCCCUAAGGGUCUAGCGUUAGACUAGCCCAUUCUAUGAAUUCCGACUAGCGUUGGACUAGUGGAAACGUACAUUCAUCCAUCACAUUCAUUUUAGGCUAUGGAAAGCGAGUAGACAUGCCAAACACUUAUAAACACAUAGCACAUAACAUUUAGCAUGCUCGACUAGAUGCAAGGCCCUAACAAAGCAAAUUAACACGUAGUAACUAAGCAUGCAAGACACAUAAGACAAUUAAAACCCUAACUAUUACAUUUGCUAGCUAGGCACAUGACUUCGAUAGGUCUUCAUUGAAUACUCCUCCAAACCCUAUCUAUUACAUUAGGGAGACCCUACUACAAUCUAAAAGGGGGAAAAGGAAUAAAAUAAUUAAAUCCCUAACUAUUACAAGCCAAGAGGUGUACACAUACCCCAUAAAUAAAAGAAUGACUUAAUAAAAGCAAACGUAAAUGAAAUGAAUGAAAAAAAAGCAAGGAAAGCAAGUAAAGUAGGCAUGAAAUUCACAUUUAGCACGUUGGAUCACGUAGGAGAGACGAAAAGGGAUAAAAGAAAUUAUAUCGCCCCCUUCAUGACGUUGAUAGAGUAAAAGGACUCAAUUUGGACUAGGGUCACCAAAAAAGUGAUAACUUAGGCUAAAACCAUCAAAGCAAAGGAUUAAUGCACCAAUUUAGUGGUAAAACAUAUAUAAACCAACUUGAUUCCACCAACAUCGAAUCCUUGUUCAAUUGCAAUUAAUUAAAGAAAUGCAUAAUGACCAAGGAAAAAUGGAAUAACUCAUCAAAAUUCCCAAAUAUAGCAACUAAUGGGAGCUCAAAACGACCUUUAACCAAUCAUUCAAGUCAAAAUGCAAUGCUUAAAAACUUCAAAGGUCCAAAAAGCCAAAUAACGAGUCAAAUUACAAUCAACUUAGGAUUCAAUUGCAAGAGAUUGGAAUGUAAUUGGGUCCUUGUGACAUUGCUGCAAAAUCAUAGGGACCAAAUUGAUUAAUUUUCUCAAUUUUCUGGGUCAUAGUGUCAUAAAGGGAAACUUGAGGGGUUAAAGGACAAUUUCCUUUGGUUUUUCAUGCAUGCAUACGUAAAAGAAGGGUUCUCUUCCUGCAACAUUUCUGCCGUGAAUUCCUUUCCAGCUUGUCAUGCGAACAUGCUCACCAAAUGCCCAGAUUCUCACUAACAAUCAUUGACUAAUCAUGCAACUUCAUUGCAAGAUUAAAACAUGAAUUGAAGCUAACCAUCAAGGAUACAGAUUGAACAGCAAAAGAAGGAAAAAGGAAAAGAUGCAGCGAGGUUUUCUGCAAGCUAGGAAGCUUUCGGUCAUCAAGGAUGAAUCAGGAUUUUUCUCACCAGGCAUCAAGAGCUUUAGAUUAAUGCAGAAGCCACGACAAUACUGCAACCCAAACAAUCAACAAACAUAGAAACAAUGCAAGCUCUUAAAAUUUCAUGCAGGUCUAUGGACGAAAUUGCUGCAACAACCUGCUGCAAUUUUCAGUUAGCCCAAAAGUGAUCGUGCGAUGGGAAAGGAGAAUGAACUAAUGUGGGCUCGUGUGGACUUGGGAUAGUGAGAAGGGAGAAAUGCAGCUCUAUGACAUACAAUUCCAACAUCCCAACAAAUCAAAACAUAGAAGGAGAAUCACACAAAUGCUAGAGCAAGAUUGCAGCAAGCCUUCGGCAACCAGAAAUUUAUUUUGUAGCAAAGUGUUUGAUCAGUAGUUCAGGCAUUGUAAAUCCCCAAACUUACAGAUUCAUCACCAAAACCUUCCUUUUCUUUCCCUUUAAACCAGAUUAGCAUGCCACUUAAGUGUAAGGGUCGAUAAACAGCCACGGAAAAAGGAAGAAAACAGCGCAGGAAACGCGACAGCCUUUUUACUUUGCUGCAGAUUUUUGCAGCUUCAGGCUUGCGUGGAUUAAAUGCUGAAAACAUGAUGUUAGACCCACCAUUUAUCUACCAAGCUCAUACAUAACUCCAAACAUCAGUCUAUCAUUAGUCAAGCAUGGCUAUCUUCCCCCCCCAAACUAUUCCAAGAAAUUCAGCCAAGGCAACGAGAUAAUAAAGAAAAUGCAGCAGCUCCUCAUUAUUCAAACCAGAAUAUCCAAAUUUCCAUUGUUAACAACAUCCGAUGAUAAGCAUGAUAUGAGCAAGACUAAAACAGUAAAGAUGACCCAAAACAGCACGAAACACCAGAGAUUACAUGCAUCAAAAAGAUACCAUAGACAUCAAUAGCUCCCAGAUGCAACUGAAUGUAAAAAAAAAAAAAUGCAGCAGGGGGGCACGAGGAAACUCGCGGCUUGCGGCAACAUGCCUACGGCAUACCAUCCCAGCCGAAUACCCAAAAAAAAACAUAAACUUCAAACCAGUCGAACAUGAAACAGAGAGGGACCAAGUGACAUUGGAAACAAAAUGGCAAACACUGGACGCUGACUCCUCUAUCAUGUAAACAUCAAGCAUUGGUUCUUUUCUUUAUCAUAUAGACAUCAUCCACAGCCACAAGACUGGACCUUUUACCCACAGAUAAGAAAUAAACUCUUGGUGAUCAUAAAACAAAAGGGGCGGCAGAAUAGACAAUCAAAGCAGUGAUCUUUCCAUAAGCAAAAUCACUAAACAUUAUUCAAAGAGAUACUGGGAUCUAAAGGGAAGGAACUACUUACAGUACUCAGGUUUUCUUGAUGAAGAUCCGCCUCUGCUGGUGGCGUGAAGGUGAGCAAAUCCUUUGCUCAGGUUUGUUGCUUCAGGUUACAGCUUCCUCGGUUUUCCUCCCGUCUUCUUCCGAGUCUCAAGUUCUGGUUUUUCUUUCGUUUCUCUCAAACUCGCGGGUCUCCCGUUCCUUCCAACUUUUCCAGUCUUUCUCUCCUCACCUCCCAGAUUCUAACCGUCACCCUAGCUCUCUUUUCCUCAGCUUUUACCUCUCUCAAAGCUCUAACCUUUUGCGCAGCCCCCCUGUUUUCUCUUCCGGACUCAGCCGUCACUCCCUUUGUUUCUUUUCUGGUUUCCUCUCCGGCCCACUCACCAAACCCCAGCCGUUAAAAGCCUUCAGAUUUUUCUCACUCAGCCGUUAUCUUCCCAAAAAACCCUCUCUCUCGCUCUCCUUGAAGUUUCCUUCCAUCUCUCUGUAGCUUUUUCUGGUUUUCUACCGCUCUCUCGCUUCUCAGUUUUUCCUUAGCCGUCAACUCAAAAAACCUUUCCCCUUUUGCGGCUGAUGUUCUCUUUUUCUAUUUAUAUGGGACUCCUCAACCCUAAAACCCAGUCCUUUCUUCUAUAAUUUGCAGCCAAGGGGCUGUCCAGCCUUUCCUUGCAAGCUGCGACAAAAUGCAGCUUGCAUGCCGCAAAUCCUCUUUUUUUUUUUUAACUUAAUAAUUUAACAAAAAUAAAAGUAAAACUAAAUAAUAAUAAAAACAACAAUUUUAAUUACAAAUACAUCAGAAUAAACAAACUAAAACAACAAAAUUGCCAUUUUCAAUCUUUCUCUUUCAUUUUUCAUUUUUCAUCAUUUUUCACUUUUUUUUCUUUUUCUUUAAGAAAACAUUGUAUUAAAACAACUCAACAUAUUUCUUGAAUAUUUUUCCUUCUUUUUUCUUUUUUUCUAGAAAUUCUACGCUAAGAAUAAAAACUAAACUAAAAAAAACUAAAAACUAAAAAGUGAAUAAAACUAAAAUAAAAAACUGAAAAUAAAAAGUAAAUGAAAUUACACCAAAAAUUUGGUGUCUACAGAACCCACGCCACAUAUAUUGAGACUUGAAAGAUCUUGGCCAUAUCAUCAGUGACGGUGCCAGGAUUUUUUUUUUGGGGACCAAAAUUUUUUCCAAAUAAAAUUAUUUUAAUAUAUUAUGUUCAAAAUAAUUUUCUUCUAUUUAAAUAUAUGACAUCUAAAAAUAUCAAAUAUUAAAUUUAAUUAUAAAGGCAUGUCUAUUCAAAAAUAUGCGGUAUAGUUAUAACACAUACAUUAAGUACCCCAAUGGUCGUCAGAUCAUUAAAUCCUAAUAAGGACCCUUUUAGACCGCGAGAGGAAGAUGAAGAGAUACUUGGUCCUAAAGUACCAUAUCUCAGUGUAAUUGAUGCACUAAUGUAUCUUGCUAAUUGUAUAAGAUCUAAUAUAUCAUUUGCAGUGAAUUUAUUAGCAAGAUUUAGUUCCUCGCCCACAAGACGACAUUGGAAUGGUAUUAAACAUAUUUUUCGUUAUCUCCAACGAACAAUUGAUCUUGGAUUAUUUUAUUCAAAUAAAUUUAAGCCUGAAUUGCUUGGUUAUGCUGAUGUUGGAUAUUUAUCUGACCCGCAUAAAGCAAGAUCUUAGACUGAUUAUCUAUUUACAUAUGGAGGUACAACCAUUUCUUGGAGAUCUACUAAGUAAUCAUUAGCCGCCACUUCAUCGAAUCAUGCUGAAAUAAUAGCAAUUCAUGAGGCCAAUCGAAAAUGUGUUUGGUUAAAAUCAAUAACCCACUAUAUCCGAAAGAGUUGUGGGUUAUCUUUCAAAAAAGAAAAUCCUCCAACUAUAUUAUAUGAAGAUAAUGUAGCUUGUAUAACUCAAUUGAAAGAAGGCAAUAUUAAAGAAGAUAGGACGAAACACAUUUCACAAAAAUUCUUUUUUACUCAUGAUUUGCAAAGAAUAGUGAAAUUGAUGUACAACAAAUUCGAUUAGAUAAUAAUUUGGUAGAUUUAUUUACCAAGGCAUUACCGACUGCAACAUUUGAGAAAUCAGUGAAAAAUAUGGGAAUGCGACGAUUAAAAGAUCUCAAAUGCUAUUUGCAUCAGGAGGAGAAAUUAAUACACAUGAAUAGUGUACUCUUUUUCUUUCACUAGGAUUUUUGUUCCGAUGGAUUUUUCCUUAAUAAAGUUUUAACGAGACAUAUUCUUUGUAUAAUGGACAUCUAAGGGGGAGUGUUAUGAAACAAUUAAAAGUGUGGAUGUCCUUUUGUAUUCUCAAGAAGACUAAUUCAUAAUUCAUUGAUCCCAAAGGGAAUAAUUCAUAAUUCAUUGCUACAUUAUGUAAAUGAGUUACAAUGGAUGAACGGUUCAAUCCAUAAACCCAUUCAUGUAUUGGAAGAACCAUUUCAUAGACUAUUCAUGUUCUUGUAGUAAUGAGUGUUGAAUAGAACUGAUGCAUCUUUAAUUUUAUAGUACCUAUAUAUAGAGGUACCUUGGCACCUCUUGGUUGUACUUUUGAUUAGUUGGUAUAAUAAGAAAAUCAUUCUCCAUUUUUCUACUUCUUUCUCUAAUAUUUCAAUUCCUAUUAUAGUAGUUUAUUUUAUUAGUUUUAUAACAGUAAUAUUAUUCACACUCCUAUUAUGUUGUUUGUAUUCCCUCUAUCACAUUUUUUUAUGAGACCAUAUUAACCCUACACUAAUUUCUUCUCUUACCCAUGAGCUAACUUUAUCAUAUUUUCUCUUACAUUCUAAAAUGACUUAAUUAUUCCAUUACACAUUAAUAUGGCUAAUUGAAAAUUGUUACUAAUUUAAAUGCAACACACUGAAAGAUCAAGCACCAAUUCACAGGAUAUCAAAUAUAUAAAACAAUACUGCUUGGAGUGAUUAAUUGAGAAAUAGGACAAAUCCUAAGAUUUGAUUUGGUAGUGGGUAAAAAAACUACACAAGCAAUAAACAAAAAUACUCGUAACCAGUAGACGAAAAUGAAUAAUAAAAGGGGAGUAUGCCCAAAGAGUAUUCAUUAUAUAGCUUUAUUAGUAGGAUUUGAGAGAUUCAAUUGUUGAUAAAAAGUGGAAAUGAUAUGAUCUCGACCUAGCAAGAAUCUGUCUUGAAGAACCGAAUCAAUUAGGCAGUGAAAGGAUUUAUCUUGAUUAGGUUAUGAAUAAAUUGGACGGAUUCUAGACAAUCAAGGAUCGCUCGAGAUUGAAUAGAAGGAUAGAAUGACGCCAUAAUUCAACGUGAUCUUGAAUUGAUAAAUCAAUUGAAAAACUCAAGAAUCCUCUAAAGUAUUCAAGUUGGAUCUCUUGGACAACAGAUGUUGCUAGCACAAAGUGUUUGAUGGAUAUUUUCUUUCAUAAUUCACCUCCAAAAAACGUUGGACUUUAAGGCUCUUUUAUAGCCUUUACAAAGACUCAAAAGAAAUCGAACUAAAUUAGGAAACUUCUUAACUAAACCUAACUCAAUUCUAACUAGGAAACUAACACGACUUAAGGCUUAACUAUGGUCAACAUGACCUAGCCUUUUAGUUAACCAAACUAAUGAUUCAUUUAACUCUUAAGCUAACAUGAAUCAGACCAACUAACAAUACUUGAACCAACCACAACAAUUGGUUGGAAAAUAUCAUAAGCACAUGAUACUAAGGGCUUAAUUACCAACUAAACACAAUAAUUCUCAAGAAAGGAAUGGUUGGGACGUUGGACUUCAAUUACUCAACCAUCUUCAUGACUUGAACAUGAAUCAUGGACCCCAUGUUCGUAUUAUUCGCUUCCUCUUGAAAGUGAUUUGCCCACAAAUCAUUAGAUUGGAGAAAUUGCAGUAACUCGGGCAUCACUGUGACGAUUCCACUUCUCCUUAGGGCGAACCCUAGGGUUUCGGCGGGCCACCUGCCUAGCUCUCGUCAGGGUUCAAUACGAGUCAAAUUUAAACUUAAAGGUAAUCAACCAAUAAUAAAAGUCAAUAUAAAGUAAAGUCGCUUCCUUAUAUAAUCAUUCAAAUAUUAUAUCACAAGUUUUCAAAAGAUACAUCAAAAUUUUUAAAAAAUACAACCCUCCAAAGUUGACUAAACCAUUUACAUCCAAAUUCUAAUCAAAAGCAAUCAAGUCAGUUUCUCUAAAAAUCUUUCCAUUCCGAGCUCCUGUUAAGGAAAACAAACUACGGGGGUGAGUUAACACUCAGUGAGACCAAGAAAAGCAUGCAAACACAUAAGUUCAAGUAACAAUAACACUUGUACAAGAAAUAUAGCUAAAAAGUUCAUGUAAUUCACAAAUAACAGUAAAGCACAAUCAAUAAGGAUACGGGAGCUCUUAGGAGCUAAAUUCCCAUUGCUUUGCCAAGGCUUGAUCCAAUACCUCCACGUGAUGGCACUCCAUCAAUUGGGUAGGUAGCAAGUCUGUAGAAACUCCGCUUACUUCCUCCAUACCUCAUUUCACCCUCUCGGAUCCGUAACCAAACAGUCACUGGAAGGGCAAUACUACUCGAGUAUGCCAAACAAGACCUCAAAAGAUCGAACUUAUAAUUUUCUCAUAGUUCACCAGGCUUCUCGACCAAGCCCAUGCCGGCUCGAGUCGCAAGGUUAGCCAAUGAGUUUUGGGCGUCCCUAGAUGUACACAUACAAUUUUCCACACGCAAUUCAAUUAUCAAGUCACAUUCAUACAAGUCAAUUGUCUAUUCAAGUACAAGAGAACGAGUGCGAUAAAGUACACACUCGUCUCGACAAGUCCAAAUACUUAAUUAAGAAGAAGCAAUUCAAGUAUUUAGCAACAAGUCAUGCACUUGACACUCACCAAUUCAAAAGUAAGUGAGCACAUAAGGCCUUUAAUUGUCCGCACCGAGAUUUCCUUCGAAACCCUCUUGAGCACCUGAAGAAAUAUUAACCAACCAUCACUCACGGAUAUCCUAGGCCACUUAGCAUUGAAGGAAGAAAAUGUCUUUGGUUAAAACUUAAACAAGGCCUCAAAAGAGUUUUAAUUCAUCGAAAAUCAAGAUUCAAAAAUAAGGAUUUAAAGUCUCAAGUGAACUCAUAUCAUUCAUAAAAUUGAGUUUAAAAUGAACCAUCAAUCUCAAAAGGAAGUUGGAAGUUCAUAAAAUUUCAUUUCUUAAGAAAUCAGAAAUUUCCAGCUUUACUUGACAAUACUUGAGAAAUUAUAUUUUGAGUUUGGCAAGUUCAAAAAUGGGAAAUUUUAUACCGUUGGAAACUAGAUUCAAAGUACUAAAACUUUCCCGAAGAACUUUUCCUAGAUUCCAACCAGAAAUCAUUCGAAUUUCAGCUCAAAAUUAUUGUUUCAUGAAGACAGGCAGAACCAGUUCUUGUUUUCCAGCAAAGUUUGAGAAUUUGGCAAAAUUCACAGGUAUUGAAUUAACCUCUGAAUUUUAUAAUACAGUAAGAGUUUCAAGUCAAGUUUCAAACACAAGCAGGACUAAAUUUGGAUUUUUGAACAGCAAGAUACAACAGUUUGAAGAUGGUUGGAUUUCACAACCUGCUCAACAAUUUUUUAGUUACCAGCUCUGAUAUAGUUUUGAAAUCAGAUCAUAUCUAACUCUACACAAGUCCAAAUUGAAAAUUGUUUAUGGCGUUAGAAACUAGAUUCAAAAUGCUAUAAUUCAUCAGAAGACAUCAUUUUCAAACUCUUUUCAAAAGUGAGACAAAAUUGAGCCACAUGAUACAAUUUCACAGUUUCUCUCGGACAAAUAGGUAAAACAAGUUAGUCCACUUUGUCGAUUUGCUACGGCUCAUUCAAAAUGAAUUAGCAGGGAAAUCUUAUACCAUUCGAAAGCUCUUGGUGUCUAGUUUCAAAUACCACAAACGGCACUUGAUUUUGACUUUUGUACAAAGAUUUAUGCUUAGACAAACUACCCCUGGUCCACUGACCUAGUAGCUAGUUUUAAGAUUUCUUCCUUUCUUCAAAACCCAAGUUUUUGGUAACCGAUUGAAACAAUUUUUGAAAGACAAUUUCCACACACAUAACACAACAUAUAAAAAGCAUUUUAGCAGCCAUAUAAGCAACAAAAAUUUGAAAUCUAAGCAAGGUAACAAGGCAAUAGUUUCGGCCAGCUCUCCUCACAAGUUUCUUCCAACUUUCUCUCCACUUACCAAGUCAAUAUCAAGUCACUCAUCACAAAAACAACAACAAUCAAGCAAGAACUUGAAGUCAGCUACCAAAAAGGCCACCUCAAGACCACUAGCCUAGAUGUAAAGCAAGAAUAAAAGUUUUCCUCAAGUCCACCAGCCUAGAUUCUUGAUUAGGGUUUCAAACCCAUGAAAUACAACCUCUACUCUUGGUAAAAUUUGAAAGAUACUCUUGGUAAAAUUUGAAAGAUUAAAGAAGGAUGAAAUGGUUACCUCUUCAAGCUCCUAAACCCUAGUUGUAAGCAAGACUUUCCACCAAUACUUCACCAAGAAACACCACAAGCUUGCACCUUCCUUCCAACUAGAGCAAAGUUCCAAGAGAUUUGUGGGUUGGAUGAAGAGUAUCAAGCAGGAUUGAAGCAAAAGAUGAAGCUUUUCUCUUCCCCCUUUUCUUCUCCUUGUUCGGCCGAGAGAGAGUGUGUGUGAGGAAGUGUGUGUGUUUUGAUUUUUGUGGAGGAAAAAUGAAGGAAAGGCUAACCAUAAGUUUGUAUAAAAAGUCAACUUUCAAUAGUGGCUCAAUAGUGUCUUGCACUACCACUUUCUCUCUUGUUUGCCACACUUAUACACUAAUCCUCCAAGGUAAUUCCUCUAGCACUACAAUUACUCAAACUUCUUAGUCUAGUACUAAAUCCUUAAAUCUCCAAUUAGUCAUGCCGGUGCGACUUUCAAGAAACUUUCAAAGCAUGCGAUAAAAGCUUAAUUUAAGAAAAUUCAUGCAAAAUAAUAAAAUUAAAUAACACUAGGGCAAAUAAUUAUAAAAUAGACUAAAUUAAAAAUAAAAACAUGAGUCCUCACAAUCACUUUCAUAUGAGCAUACCAAGUUGCAUGGCAUUUAUGAAACUGCAAGAAACUCACAAGUAACGUUUUCAACCAAGGAAUGUACCAAUGUAGAUGAAGCUAAUUACAGUGCCUUCUUGCUCUUUGUUUCUCACAAAAAAUCUUAACCAACCUGUUAUCAUAGCUUGUGAAAUCGGCACCUUGGAUGUACUUCUUGAUGCUUAAGAAUUCAAGUUGUGCAUAAAACUCAGCUUGUGUUGGUAGCAGCAUGAUAGAAUUAGCAGCUAUAUCUUCUUGUGAACAAGCAAUUGACAAUGAAUUACUUAAAGGAAACAAAUGACCCAAGUCCAUGGGUGAGUGGUGAUUAGAAAAACCAUGGACAGCUGUUAGUUUAGGAACACCAAAUUCGGCUGGACCAAGCAAGAAAUCUAGUUGCAUUGCACAAGAUAAUUCUGGAAAAUUUUGGACAGCUUUACAACCUACAAAAAUGAAGUAAGUUUCAGCUUGUAACAAACUAGAAAUAGGGUAUAUAAGCAAUGGAACAUCAUUAGCUAAGUGAUAAGAAGGUGUAGAAUAAGAGUUCAAUGUGAAAACUCCCUUUGACACUUCAUUAUUUCUUCCAUCAACCAAUUCAACUAGAUGAGUCAUUGCUGGCUCUUUACACCUUUCAUCAAAAUUUACAUAAGAACGACAAGAAUUGGGAAUAGUAACAUGCUCAAAAUAAGGCAAAGAUGAUGAAUGAAUCAUAAGUAAAGAAUGAGAAGUAAAAUCUGGAAUUUCCCCUUUAAGGUGUGGACAGAUUUGACCUUAUCCGAUUCCAUGAAUUGACACCAAAUUGACUUAAUUCCUAGAAGACAAACUCCAUCAAAACCAGUUAAUUGUACAAGUGACUUUGGAAUGGAACAUUGCAUGACUAACUCCACUUGACUUUUCUUGAUCUGCAUAAAAGAAGAAACACUAAACAAAGCAAAGGUAAGUUUGUUAGGAAAAUAAGCUCUCAUAUUCUCAGUUGAAAUUAGCUCACUUGAUUUUGCACUCAUCUCAUCAGGUUUUUCCAUCUCUUUUUCUAGCUCACUUUCCUCAACUUUUACCUCAUAUGCACUCUCAAGUGUUACUUCACACUUCUCACUAACAAUUUCAUCUUUCCACUUUUCAGUUGAAUGACAACUUCCUCAAUCUCAGCCCUUUCAACUGGCUUUUUCUUUUGUUUUUCUUGAAGAAAAGAGGUUGGUAAAUAUCCCACCAUGACUCCUCCUUAGAUGACUCAAAUGCAGCCUUAGACUUUGAGGAACUUGAUGCAAUAGACUCCUUAUUCCUUUUGAGUGGUCUUUCCUCUUUUGGUUCAUCAUAUGUUGAGCAAUUGCGAGAACUUUUAGGCUUCACAGCUCGAUUAUAGCCAUGAGACCUCUCAAAUGAACAAGCUGAUUUGGUGGAUGAUGAGCUCCUUUUAAAUGCUCGGCACAUCCUCUUUUUGUUCUCCAUGUAGCCAUCACAAGUGCGUUUUAUUUCUUAUAAGCACUUAUUGCACGAUCAUGAUCCAUUUCCUCAUUGAGGGUAUGAAAUUCAUGGUUUGACACUUUAGCAUAGCUAGAUUGAGUGGAACCCUUCCUCUUAAGAGAUUCGGUCUCAAUUCUAUCAAGUUACUUAUGCAUGAUUCCGACUGACUUAUUUAACUUCCUUUCAAAAUCCCCCAAUAUGGAUUCCAACAUAAGUGUAGGAUCAAAGUGGUGUGAACUUCCUUUGGUGGACAUCCUUGACCUGCAAAAAUGGUUAGCAAAAACAAAGGAAAGUUUCUUCAUAACACACCCUCAUGUGUAUGCACUCGCACUCAUGUAUCACUCAAGUAGUUUAGACACUCUAAUAAGCUCACCAAGCAAGUCCCUUGGUCAUUGAUCUCCUUACUUGAAAAAAUCAGAAAUUCCUCAAGUAGUUCAAUAACUUAUCCAACAAUGUACAAGGAAGUGAUGUAGAUGAGAUUUGGUACAUUGAUCACAACAAAGACUGAUUUGAACGACUCAAAAGUGCUGAAACAAGGCUGGAAAGAUGGUCCUAGUACGGCUGGAAUUUCAAGCUAAACACACAGAUUUGAUUAGCUUAAAAUCCAAGCAAAAAUUCAAUGGAAACAAUGACCAAACGAAAACCUAGUUGGACAAGGAUUUGACCAACCUUUUAGGAAACUUUCUUGGCUGACUUGGGGGGUGUUUGACCUCUUUUUGGACUGUUACUUUACUGGAAAUAAGGUGUUCAACCACUCCAGCGAUUUUUGGAAGCUUUUAGGCAAUUUAGGAAACCACUUCCAAUUUGGUUCAAUACUACUUUGGUUUUGGGAGUUGCAAUCGAAUUUGGAAACUCAAACCCUAGCCGCCCUUGAAGAAAACCAAGAACGAUUUUUUUCUUUUUUGUUCUUCUCCCUCCUUUUUUUUUUUAGAUUUUUUUGCUGAUCACAUAAGUGCAAACCUUCAAGAAUGCAAGAAUUCAAGAUUGGUGAUAAAAAAAUUCAAGCUUCUUCAAGAUUGUUCAAGAACUCAUUCAAGAGUUUCAAGAACCCUUUUCUUUUUUUUUUUUUCCUUCAAGAACUUCAAGAUUGAGGUUUGCAGCCCAAGAUUCUUCAAGUUUUAGCCCAAGAAUUCAAGAAGGUUCAAGAAUUUCAAGGUCAGUCAUAGGUGAAGAACACAACCAGAAAUUUUGACUCUAGACACAAACAAAACAACAAAACAACAAUACGAGAAAGAUUGACAACUAAAAAAAAAACUAAAAAUUGUACGAGUGAAUAGUGAUUUCGGGAUAAACAGUAGCGAUGAACAGCAACAAUGAACGGUGAUGAUGAAUAGCAGUGAUGAACAGUAUGAAUUUUUUUUAGAAUCAUGAACAACACAAAGCAACACGAAGAACAAGAAGGAUAUAACCUAGAAAUUGUCAACUAACUCUGAUUAUCAGAUGAUACAAUUUCGACCCAACAAGAACCUGACUUGAAAAACUGAAUCGAUUUAUUCAACCAUCUUCAUGACUUGAACAUGAAUCAUGGACCCCAUGUUCAUAUCAGGAAAUAUCUUCAAUGCUGUCAGGUUUAAUCAUGUCGCAUAUCUUGCUUAAUUCAUCAAACCUCAGGAGAAUUGUCUUUUAUAGUUUGAAAGCCCUAAAAUUUUUAAAGGAAGAGAAAAAGGCGGAGCCAAAAAUUUUUUUAUGAAAGAGAAGAAAGUGGAAUUGAUAUUUGUUGCUCCAAAAUUGUUUGUCGAACUUCAUUGUAGUAGAGUAGCAUAUGGGCAAUGAGCACAAGAUAGAGUAGAAAAAGAAAUUAGAGUAGGGGUAAUAUGUGUCAUCAAAAUGAAAAUAGAAUAGUGGAGUGCAAAUAAUAUAAGGGAAGUGUAAAUAACAUCACCCUAUUAAAAUAGAAAAAGCUUUCUUGUGUAGAAAAAAAGUUUGUCCAGAAAGAUACAAUAAAUGACACUAGAUCAAGCAAAUUAAGGUUUAAUGUAUAAUUGGGCUGACAAUCAUUUUUAGGGAUUUUGACUUUUGAUUCUAAAUGGAAGUAUAGGCACACUCAUAAUCCUUCUAUUGUACAAACAUAGCAACAGCCAAAAAUUUUUAAGCUAUAGUACUAAUUUAAUUGAUCACAAAAUUAAGAGAUUGGGAGGAGUUCUAAAGAAAAAACAAAAAGAAUUUAACACUUGAAGUUUAUUAUUAGCUUGACCCAAAAAGACUCUCCUGAUGGCAUGCAGACACCUGAAGAAAAACAGGUGUGAGCCAUCCAGUCACUAGGCGAACGCCUGUUGGCCACCAAAAGGAUUUCGUUUUGCUGUAAUUGUGAGUAACAACUAGUUAUUUGUUUUGAACGUUGGAACUACUUUUUCACCUCUGUAAGUACCCGUAACCUCCAAUUUAUCGAUAAUCUUUUGAGCUAUCAAUUGUUUAUCUUUCAAGCACUAAAACCAUAGUUAUUAAACCCAGCCCGACCCUGCGGUUCAAUCGGUCAAUUUGGUGAACCGGUCAUGAAACCGGGCUGGGUUUGUAAUUGGUUCGUUUGUGCACCAAAUCCGUUGACUUUUCAACGGACCGGCGGUUCAACCGGUCAACUUGGUUGAACCGAACGGUUUGUAAGGAACCCGGUUUUGGGAUAAAAAUGAUUAGAAAAUGCUCUAAUACUGAUUCGAACCUCAGACUUCAAGCAUAAAAGCUACACACACUCACCACUAGCUUAGCAGCUCACUUGGUGCUUAUUCACUCCUUCUAUAUUAUAUAUUAGAUUUUUAUUCUUAUUUUAUUUCUUCAAAACAAUAUUUGUUUGGAAUUUUUUAAUAAAAUUUUAUUAUUCUCUAAAUUCUAUAAAUUAUGAAAUGGAUUUAAAAAAUAACAUAUUGCACAAUUCAUUUUAAAAACAAAUAUUAUUCUUAAUAACCUUUUGUGCUUAAAAUUCAAAAAUAAACUAGAUAAUUAUACUUAGAUAAAAUUUUAUACUUGAAGUUUGGUGGAUUACUAAUUAAAUUUAGGUUUUGUUAAUUCUUAUAAAAAUUGAUGAUUCUAUAAUAAAUUGGACUAACUGAGUAUUUACUAUAACAUAGUUUAUUAUAGUUUUAACCAUAUCAAAAAUUAUAAAAUAUAAUAUUUAAAUAUAUGUAGUGACCCACCGAUUGGACCACUCACCCACUGAUUGAACCAGUAACCCAUUGACCCACCUCUUUCACCGGGUUUCUCUUCGGGCCGGGUUUAAUAACUAUGACUAAAACCCUUCAAUAUUUCAUUUCAUGAAUUUCAACCAAAUCUAAAUUCUCUUUUUUUGAACUACUUAGAGCCUCAUUUGUAUAUUGAUACCAUUGAUGGUAGAGCUAUCACUUGUAUCAUCUACAAUUUUUUUUUUUUUUUUUUUUUUUUUUUUUUUUGCUUUUUUGAGGGAUGUGUCACCUACAUUUCAAAGAGCGUUCUUUCAAUUGUAAUAUAUAAAUAAUCUGUGAGUUCUGUGCGCUUUUUCUUGGAGGAAAGUUAAAACCUGUGAGAGGAUGAUGGUUGAUUGAAUAGUUGAUCAGUCUUUUUGCCACAAAUGGAGAAGAAUGAUUGAACUCUAAUAAAUGGUGUCCAUUGGGUAGUCUUCAGGUCUGAUGGCUACUUGCAAUUCUUUAAACCUCAGGGAUUCAAGGACAUGUACCAUACAAUUCGGACAAUGCCCAAAGACCAAAAAAAAAAAAAAAAAAAAAAAAAAAAAAAAUUCAAUGCUGAAAGCUAAAUUUAUCCAUGACAAGCUCUCAAGGAAAGAUGAUAUAGGCGAAAAUAGCAGCCUUCCCAAAUAAGCUUACAGGGAAAAUACUUGAUGUAAUUGAACUAAAGCAUAGCAUUAAUAAAUUUGAAUUCCCCCUUAACUUCUCGGAUGAAGUAUUCUAACAAAUAAUAAAGAAGUUUGUACAUUAGUUUCCUCUUACAAAAUCAUUACUCAUUAUGACUAUUACUUGAUGAUGUACAAUCUUUGUAAUACAUUGUAAUUUAUUACAGGUAACUUGUACAACUUGGCAUAGUGACGUUAGCAAUUAGUACUAUUUAUAAUGAUACGUACAUUUUAGUCAUACUAUAUUUUAUAUGGUGGUGGACGUACACAAAAUUUUUACUUUGUUGGCCGCAUUAUGGCCUUCUGGAACCGUAAUUGUCUCUAAUCUAAGUCACUUUAUUAAGCAAAGCUCUCCAUAGCAUAGCCUGCAUAGAAGGAACAUGAUUUCAACGUUGUUUUAUGUUCCAAGUCACUUUUAUUAAAUAAAGCUCUCCAUAGCAUACCAUACAUGGAAAGAGCAGGAUUUCUGUGUUGUUUUUUAUUUUUCAAUUAGAUCUACGCUUCAAAGCUUGUACGGUUUUCCAACCUAUGCUUCAGGGCGUUGUAUGCUCUUCCAGCCUCCAAGGUUCCUUACUCGAUAAACCCUGGAAACAUACUGAUCUUUAUACGUCAAUUGAGGCUACUAGAUAUUGCAAGCAAGUCAAAGAAUGCUUCCUUGGUUUAACGGAGCAUUUCCUAAACUCUCGGACAAUUACAGUUUUAAUCAUACUGGACAUUGGUUGAGCUUAUGAACAAAUUUUACGUUGGUUCUACCAAAACUGUCUGCUUUGAGUCACUCUAGUAGUCUUCCUCAAGAGUCACUAACCUUAGACAUGGUCUUCAUCUUCUUCAGCGUAUUUGGAAUGAAAUAUGAAAAUCUCACUUGUUAGUAUAAUUACUUUCAUUCGUAACAGAACAAAAAACAAUUUGACACCGCAACCAAACUUCAACUCUGAUACCUAUGAAUCCCUUUGUGCACCUUCUGUCGACAAAGUUAUUUUAACUUGAAAACAACCAAAAGAAUAGCAGUAAUAACACUAAUAUUAAAGUUAAAUACAAUAAACUUUAGAUAUUUUUUAUGUUCCGCUAAAAUGUCAGCUUUUAACUCCACUCACUUCAAUCUCAACAAUGACCUGCACUAAGAUAUGCUUUUCAACUAACUCUGCACAAGCCCAUUCCGCCAAUUGAACAAGGAAAACCUAAACUAGUUUAUGAAGUUAGCAAGUCAACAUAAAGGUUUAUGAUGCACAGUCUGAUACUGGAUAUUACAAAAGUCGAUAAUUUCCUAUUGUGAUGGCGCGAGUUGCCUCAACUUGGCCUGUAAGACAAUUCCAACCUCAUCAGCUAUACUUUUCUUCUUAGUAGCCACCUGCAGACCAAACACACAGCAAUAAAAUGCAUGUAUAAAAUAAAGUAUCCAAUGCCUGGGAAGAUAAAAAAGAUUACAACAAUGACACAUCGGUGUCCACUGUUGAAACGUUUUGCCCUGUUGCAGACUUUUAAAACCAGGGCAUUAAGUUCAAACAUUAUCAAUAUCUUCUUUCUCAUUAGGUUCAUAUAUUACCAUUUACAGACUGAUUGCCUUUCAAAGUUUUGAACUAAAUGUCAAUCAACAGGCAUAACAAUAUGCAACCACAGUCCUUUGUUAAAGUUGAGGAUAGAGCAACUCGUAGCAUACUCUUAGAAAUGAUUUCUACUAUGGCAGUGUGAACUAUAUAAAACAAAGGCCUCAAAUGCAUGUCUAGGAGCACAGAGAAAUGCCUUUGCCUGGGGACACUCUUUUUCCCCCAGUCGUAACAGGAUCAGUAUCCUGAGACUAUUUUGCUGCAGUAGUAGCCACGAGUAAAAUGUCUGCAAAAGUUAUAAGAGCAUAAAGUUCCCUUAGCUCGACAGGAUCAGUUGCAUUUUGAUUUCAUGCAUGUCACAGGAAGCACCUUACAUAAAACAUUCUCAAUCAUAGGUAGCUUGCAAACCAACAGACUUGAUCCUAAGCUCUAAAGAGAAAUGGUUAAAGAUGGGAACCAUACUCAUUACCAGAACAAAAAUUCACCCAAACUAAGGCCAAACAAAAUCUCCAACUAAGAUAAAGUUCCUUUAGCUUGACAGAAUCAGACACUUUUUGAUGUCAUGCAUGUUACAUGAAGCACCUUACAGCACAGCAGUUUCAACUAUAGUCAGCUUUGAGACCAAUAGACUUGAUCCUAAUCUCUAAAUGAACAUAGCCAAAGAUUGAAUUAGUACCACAAUAUAUUUCAACCAAACAAAAUAUCUAAUUCGCAAAUAUGCCUAUCUCCAUUUUCCUUUACUUUGUUGUAGGCACAAUACGGUUAGUUGCCAUAAUUUUUCCAAUGUUUCCUCAACAAAGUUCAAGCUCAUCAACUAUAAUUUUCACUGACAUUCCUGCCAUAGGGGGUCAAGGGUCCCUAUCAAUCGCCAAAAUGAAAAGAUAUCCAACAUGUUGGAUAUGAGUUUGCAAAACAAUAGUCUUCCAAGAGUGUCAGACACACAUUGCAGCUAUUUAACCUUGCAGUUCAAAAGCAACAGCUGACAUGAACCGAACAUCAAAUGUAGGACUUUUUGAUAGUCAAUGUGCAAAAUGUAAGAGACUACGAGUUCCUUUGUCAAAUAAUUCAUUUCUACGACGAAGUAACAGGUAUCACAAUGAACAUAAAUUAAUUGUAAGGAUCUUUCACACACACAUCUUGCUAUUGGCAUAAGAUGGCUGCAUACCAGAAUCAAUAUAAUAAAAGCUGAAGACAUUUGUCAAUAUCAUCUUGGUAUAUGCAUAUCUAAUACAGAUGUAUAAACAGAAACGUAAGAACAUAUCAGGUGCUUAACAUUUAUAUAAUUAUCCAUACACAUGGUUUGAAAUUACACCAACAUUUGUUUAUUGAUGUUUCCUUGAUCUACCAAAUCCUAUUUCCAAUCAAGCUAAUGGUACUUCUAGAUGGAAAGGUCCCUUUUAGUUAUUUGGGUUGUAUACCCUCACUGCUUUCUACAUGACUUAUACAUUCUUAACGAAAAAAGAUAGAUCAUAUCCCAUUUUCUAGAGACUAUCAUCCUUGGCCCCUUGAUACGAACGUCGCCAACCUUGUGACGAAACCCGUAAAAGAUUAGCUUCAGGAUCGACAAGAGGACACCAAGUUUGGAGCGGAUGACCUCAACCCGUUAAUCACGUGGUUAACGAACCUUGGUAUAAUGGUAGAAGACGCCACAAUCUAGUGCGAUUUUAGAUUGAUAAGUCACGAACACCUAGAGAAAUUCUAAGGUAUUCAAGAAGCCUUGGGGAAACCAAGAAAACUCUCAAAAUUUGAUUUAUUGAAUGCCUAAACUAUUGGAAGUGUGGGCUAUUUAUAACCUUGCAUAGAGAUGAAAAACUAAAUAAUGUGGAACUAGUCUAGAAUUGUGGACUUGACUAAGACUAAGAAUUGUAGGCUUGACUAUUUCCAUAAGGCUAAGAAUUGUGGGCUUGACCGAACCUUAUGAGAUCAUCCCUUAGGUAAAUAAAGCAAGGCUAUGGACCAUUAAGCCCUUAUUACAAAUAACUUAACUAAAAGAGCAAAUGUGACUAGAUGGGCAGACGACUUGAACUUAUAAAGCAUGCCCACGCCUUAUAAUGACUUUGCUGCGGUGAAUCAAUUAAAUGGUAGAAGACGUAUCCUUAUAAAGCGUGCCCGUGCCUUAUAACGUCUUUGUUGCGAUGAAGCUGAAUGAAUUGCUCGAGCUCGUGUAACCAAUCCUAGUGGGACUUGAACCUUAUCCGAUGGCAUAGCUUGACUCGUUGUGGUGUCAAAGAUAAAACAUGCAGCUUGGCCAUUGAUAGGAGUUGUGAAGUCAAUCUUGCAAGCGCUAUCAUGGUUCACAAAUUAAAUCUUCCAACCAUUGAUCAUCUUCAACCGUAUAAGUUGCCGAGUGCUCAUGGUGAUGUUUGGGUUACUAAGCACACACUUGUACCUAUUCAAAUUGGCAAGUAUGUGGAUGAGGUGUUGUGUGAUGUAGUCCCAAUUCAAGUGACACGUGUUGCUGGGUAAAGCGUGGAUGUUGAGGCGAGAAGUUAAAUAUGAUGGACAUACUAAUAAGUAUUCCUUCUUAUUUAAUGGUCAUCGUUCUGCACUUGUAUCGCUUAUUUAUGACCAACUUUGUAUUGAUCUAGCAUGCAUGAAAAGUGAGCAUGAGCGUUAUAGUAUGAAGAAAUAGCUAGAUGAGGGAAUUGUGACUGAUGAGGUAAAAUUCGAGGGAGUUGAAAAGGAGAAAGAGGUUGAGAAUAAUGAGAGGAAAAAGACAGCUAUUGAGCAUGAGAAAAGAUUGAAAAAUCCAAAGUGUUGACUGAGGAAGCGAAAGAAAGGAGAAAUAAUGCACUGAUUUUAAGUUUCAACAAAAAUGAGAGUGAGGGGACUUAUUGCCAUUCUAACAACCUUAACAUUGCUCUGUCUAGUGUUCCUUGUUUUGUGCAGGUUAAGCAAAGUGCAAUCGCUUUGAUCUUACAAUGUUCCAUCCCAAAAUCACUUGUGCAAUUUGCGAGUUUCCAUGGAGUUUGUCUUCUAGUUAGAUCAAUUUGGUUCCCAUUCAUGGAAUCGGAUGAUUUCAACAGUGUCUUUGGAGGAUCAAACUAUGUGUACCCUCAAGAUGUUAGAAUCGACCAUGUUCCACGAGUUUACACAAGGAGCAAGGUCUUCAAUGGUCUCUACAAUACCUAUGCUUAUCUUGCACCUAGUCCACUUGAAGCUCCAACUUCACCAAGUCAGCUUCCAUACUUUGCAAGCUUAUUCAAGUUUGAGGAGACUGAUUUCAUAGGAUCUACAUCACAUCACUUUGAGGAUCCUUACCUCAUGAUCACAAGCAAUCAAGUUGGGCAUACAUUGAAACUGGUUCGUGAGAUUCAAGGUUCAAUAAGGUUUACUUUCCAGCUCAGCAAGUGAUUUAUGCAUUGGAUGAAACUUGUGGUAAUCAUAACAAAAUUGACUCGACGGCAUGUAACUCUUUUUAUCAUCAUUCAUGCUUCAAUUUGUGGGCAAAUUGCUUUCAAGAGGAGGGGAAUGAUACAAGUCAAGUUAUGCCAUCGGAUAAGGUUCAAGUCCCACUAGGAUUGGUUACACGAGCUCGAGCAGUUCAUUCAGCUUCAUCGCAGCAAAGAUGUUAUAAGGCGCGGGCACGCUUUAUAAGGAUACGUCUUCUGCUAUUUAAUUGAUUCACCGCAGCAAAGUCAUUAUAAGGCGUGGGCAUGCUUUAUAAGCUCACGUCGUCUGCCCAUCUAGUCACAUUUGCUAUUUUAGUUAAGUCAUUUGUAAUAAGGGCUUAAUGAUCCAUAGCCUUGCUUUAUUUACCUAAGGGAUGACCUCAUAAGGUUCGGUCAAGCCCACAAUUCUUAGCCUUAUAGAAAUAGUCAAGCCUACAAUUCUUAGUCUUAGUCAAGCCCACAAUUCUAGACUAGUUCCACAUUAUUUAGUUGUUCAUCUCUAUGCAAGGCUAUAAAUAGCCCACACUUCCAACGGUUUUAGGCAUUCAAUCAAUAAAUCAAAUUUUGAGAGUUUUCUUGGUUUCUCCAAGGCUUCUUGAAUACCUUAGAAUUUCUCUAGGUGUUCGUGACUUAUCAAUCUAGAAUCGCACUAGGUUGUGGCGUCUUCUACCAUUAUACCAAGGUUCGUUAACCACGUGAUUAACGGGUUGAGGUCAUCCGCUCCAAACUUGGUGUCCUCUUGUCGAUCCUGAAGCUAAUCUUUUAGGGGUUUCGUCACAAGGUUGGCGACGUUCGUAUCACCCCUUGUACUGUUCACAUCUCAUAUCCAUGUUUCCAAAGGCAGCUUUUCAAUGUACAAGAAGCUGCUUUGAAAUUGCUUCUAAUCUACAUUUCUAUGCUAGCAUAGGAGAAGUCAGUAGUGUUUUGCAGUCUACUUUCAUGCAUCAGCAGUUAACAUAGAAUUUUUUUUGCAGUCUACUUUCGCAUCUCAGGCUUGUCCAAGAAUUUUUUCCCUUCCAGCAACUGAAGCAAGUUCUCAUAAUUUAAGAAAGCGAGGCCUUAAGUUUCAUUUUCACCCAUUUAAGUGAUUCACAAUGUCACUGAAGUAUGAACCCAGCUUUUAAAGUUUUUAGAAAGGGCAUAUUUGCCAUUUGAAUCCAUUCAAAAUAUUGUUAACUUCAACAAAUACCGUAACAAUUAUGCUUUAUUAUUCUAAACAGUAAUAAGUUACUUUUGGUCAGAAGUUGGACCAGGCUCACAAGAAGACAAAGGUAACUACCCAAUAUUCUUUCAUUUCACUGAUGAUUCUUAACAUAACUGUUCUGAGAACAGGCCUUUUCAAAUAGAUAACUAAAAUACAUGACAAGCAUUUGACAUUUCUUUUCUUCUUCAGUCAUUGUCAAAAUGGGAUACAGAAAUCACACAUUUCUUGGUAAGUGCAAAUAAUACAGUAAAGUAGUCACCACAAUUAGUUGACGCAUUUGCAGUUCCCAGAUUUAUCAGGCCUAACUUGAAAAAAUUAGAUUUGCUUUGGAUGCUUACCAAAUCAAAUUGAAUAUUAGUUAUGUGAACAAACUUUAUCCUGUACCAAGUGUUACCAGUACUUAAGAGCUCUGAUAGGUGAAACCAAGAUAUGGUUACAUAUGUGUGGGUCUGUGUCUGAGUGGAUACAGAUAUAUCCAUAUGUGUACAAGUACAAAAAACACACAUUUAUAAACCUCCAUAUGGAUACAAACAUGUAUAAGAUAUAUCAUACCGUGCUCACAUGUAUACUGGUAGUUUCCUGGAAAUCUCCCAGGUACUUCCCUUCAAAAGUCUCAGAAGUUUUUUGUUAACUUCAAGACCUUUCGAGUCACUUAAAAUUCAGCAAAAAAUUUAACACCACUUCAUCAUACAUAUUAGAGCAAAGACGCAAGAUGGCUCUAAGAACUUUUUAAACCUGUUAAAUUUUCUAAAAUAUUUUCGGUUGUUAUGAUCUUAGGCUUUCCCCUACUAUCCUAUAUCAGAAUCACUACUUGCACGGUUAGAUGAACUGUUCACUCUGAUGCUACUCAAAAAAGAAAACGCCACAUUGUUCACAAAAGUACGAAGGCAACAUUGCAGCAGGUCAGAGCAUAAUCUAUUAAAGCCGUUCUGAUGCUGGUAUUGUCAAAGCACCAUCCAUUUCAAGCCAAAACAAGUAGAGGAUACAUAAAAACUCAAAGGAAAAUUUAAAGAAUAGUUAGGUCUAUUUAGGUCUCAAAUCUGCAAAAGUGAGCACCAAGUGAGACAAAAAUCUCAUAACCAAAAUAUUGACUCAACUUUUCUCAUCUGAAGUGUUACCACCACAUCACACAAGGUAUGACACAUAACAUUGUGUAAGUUAAUCAUAUGAAAUCCAUUGUCUAGUAAUUAGAAACACACUGAACCCACAUAUAAAUAACAUGGCAAUACAGUAAAAGGCAGAUAUUUUAUCUAGGGACCUGGAUCAUACAAUGAAUGAAAUGAAUGCCUGUGAUGCUUUGAUCUACAUCAGGCAAAAGUGGCAGAACCCUUGCGGCCUUAUUUGGAAUUUCAAUAAAUUGAAGCUCUUUAGUUCAAACGUAAAGAGUUUUCACCCUGAACCAAGGCUGGCAGAUUAGGACUUUUACAUUUUCACCACUUCAAUCCAUGUAAGACUAGUUAGUAACUUGAAUGACCGAGCUUCUUCUAGUCAAACAUUUAUCUGUAAAGCUUUUUAAAUUAAAUGGUUAAUCUGAUGUGCCCUGGGAAACUACUACAUACUGAGGCAAUGUCAACUAGUGGUAGAUGUAAUGUACAUAUCUUAUUUUAGGACAUAGUCCAAUAAAUGUUUAUUACAUUUCUUCAUGCUAUCCGUGCCAGAAACUGGUUCACGUUUGCAUGCUCUUGCUGUAGUCAGUCUAGCCCCUAAUCUACAUUUGGGGUCUUCCCCACCCCCGAUAUUAUUUAGGAUGCUUUUGAUAAAACUGAAGUUUGAAAUCUAAAAUCUGAAGUCUGAAUUCAUUAAGUUAUUGAAUUGUUAAAUAUUAAAUCUAAUACAUUUGAGUGCAUAUCACAUUUAGUGAUAAGUGAAUAGCUUAUUACUUAAUUUUGGGAGCAAGUUUUGCCUAGGAAAUUUAAUGCCACUUAAUUAAUUCAGAUGUUCAAUUUUUCGAUAUCAAAUGGUCUGAAUAUAUUAAGAUCUGAACCCAUUAAGUUUUAAGUGCUGAACUAGGUUAUCAAACAGGGCCUUAGUUUCAGUUUGUGUAUGAAACAAUAUUAAUGGAGUGAUUCCAUAUUUUAGUUUCAGUAGAUGUGGUUCCAGAGUAACCAUAUGUGUCGUAGGAUUCCUUUUACUCAAUUUCCCCUUACUUUGUUCCUGUUCCAGCAAGUUACAAGAACCAGAUUAACAUUACAUUCACAAUCUAAGAACAGCUGCAUAGAUUGCUAGAAGUGUACAGGUGGUUCUCAGCAGCAAAAACUUUGAACUUUUACAUUAGUAGUUAGAACUUGAAUUCUAGCGAGCUACAUUACAGGGAAUUGGGUAUGGGUGAGUGUUUUCUAGAAUCAGAAUACGACAAAACCAGCUCAGAUUUGCAUACAGCCAAGGGGAUAUGCUAAAUGAGAUAAUUUAUUGGAGAUAUAUUGUCUUUGUUGUAGUCUCUCUUUCAGGUGUAUUUUCUCAUACAUACUCCACUAGUUGUUUUACGAAGGCUUUGUUAAUUUCCUCCGGAGACGAAUAAGUUCUUUGAAUUAACAACAAUUGUAUAAAACACGUCUUCAAUCAAAUAAGAUUAGGCAAUCCUCAUCCACUCUCACCUGACUCAUUAUAGCAAAUAAAUCUUAAACAAAUAGGAGUCUAGUCAGACUCCACUUCAUCUGAUUGUUAUUAGUUUUGCCAAGUUCUCCAAUCUCUUUUCCCCAGCAUUUGCUAAAGAUUGUGUCAAAAUCAAAAGUCAAAGUCCCAAAUAAUAUUUGACCAUAUCUUGUCCUGAUUGCAUACCAGUACCCCUACUUCGCAGCAAAGUGCAAAGUCCAGGUAAGACAGAUGGGAAGUAGUUUAGUAUAAAGUAUAAACAUAUAAUUCACCUUUGUCCUUAUCUUUUAUGAAUCAACUGAACAUAAAAACCUUCAUCCACUUGGGAAUUUGUUUCACCAAACUAAUGUAUAACUCAUGAUCCUUCUGUUCUACUCAACCAAGAAAUAAGUCACGAGAACCUUUUAAUUUUAUAGAAAUGAAGACUAAAGAUGAAAUUUGUGUAAGUUUCAACUCAGAAAAAGAGAGAAAGGUAGCUCAAGUUUUGCAUCAUCCCAUGCAGAAAAUUUAAAUGCAAAGACAAAAAUGGAAAAUCUUGCUACCAUAUUACCAUUCUAACUAGAUUCAAGACAUCAUAUAACAAAUACAAAUUAAGGAAUGUAGAUCAAGGGGGAAGAAAAGGUUAGGGGGAAGCAAAAAUACUGUUGUAACCAGGACAAGUAAACCCAAGGCAGUUUCAAAAUUUUGGGGAAACAAUGGUCAUACCUCAAGAAGCUGAUCAUAGUUGGACUUUAGCAAGUUAAUCUUUCGCUCACAAUAAUCUUUUCCUUCCACCAUUGUUUUCUAUUUCAAGAAAACCAAAAACUGAAUUAGGCGUUCGAACUACUCAACUAGAAGCAAAGCAGACUAGCACACAACAAAAUUACUCUUCAUGACAAAUGAAAACAUGUAAAUCUCAGCAGAUGAAAUGGUGAACAGUAUCAUGAAGUUGAAACAUCAGCACUUUUUAGACAAUUCUACAUAAAGCAAUUUUAGUGUUAUCACAUGUAGUUUGAAAUUGUCAGAUAUCAAAUAGUUUCACAUAAUUCUGGCAAUCAAAAAUAAAAAUGGACUAUCAUUUUAUAUUGCUCCCUAUUCUGUUCUUCUCAUAUUUUUUCUCCUUGAACUAGUCAUUAGAUAAUGAAAACGCUUCCUCACUACCAUUGCCUAUUUAAAGGUGCCAACAAAGGAAUGUCAGUUUCUUAAUUUAUCUGAAAUUGUUUCUUUCCAGUGACAGGUGGAAGAGGUAAGAUGAAGCAAAAUUGUUAAAAUUCAGCUCUAGGAACAAAUUGAGCUUACAGGUGUUUUCUAGGUUGUUUAGGCUCAUUUGACUUUCAUGAGCAAAAGACUUGUGAAAAAAAAAAGAUUAAAUAUUGAGGUAUCUUUACAACAUUAAGCUGUUGUUAAUUGCAGCUACACAAAACAAUUAUAAUAAUAAUAAUAUCAAUGAAUAAGGACCAAAAUGCUAGGAUUAAAGAGAGUAAGAAUAGGAGGGAACCUAAGGUUAUGAGUAAAAAUUUUGGAAUCAGAACCAAGAAGCGUAUCCUUUAGGAAAAGCUAGAUAUUAUGUACCGAUUUAACACUUGAACAGAAAUGCUUAAAAAAUUCAAUUGAAUAGUCCCUCUUCUCUUGUUUGAUAAGCAGGUGCUUAUAUUUCUUUCCUAUUUUGCCUUCCAGAUACUUCAGAAAAACUUUCCAAAAAAUUUGAAUAAGAGUACAACUUAAAUUAUGGCCUCUUCCUUUUGUCAGUUAAUAACCUAAUUCAGACUAGCAGUUGUUACCCUUGUAAAAUUCACAUCAGCCAAUUGAUGGGCAUUUGCAUACAUCCUAUAAGAUAUAUACACCACUCAAACAAGAACCAUGCACAAGCAAACUAAAUUAACAGCUAGAUGAAGCAAAAAUGACAUUUAAUUUAGAUUUAGAUCCAAUUAGUGUAGCAAAUGCACAUCAUAAUUUCUACUAAUACAACAGGAUGGAUAACUUAAGCAAGUCCAUGAAGCCAAAGCAAAUGACACGUUAUUUCUGUAACAGACCAUAUUAAUGCACUUCAAAGGAGUGAUGCUCCUACUAGUAAUAAAAGUUAUGUGCAACAUUUUAGGGGAAAACAUAGGUACCAAUUCAACAAACAUUAUUAUCAAAGAAAGUCACAGAAAUAUUAACAAAACAUGAAACCCAAAUGUAUUACAUAAAGACUGGAUUUACAACUGAUAUUUUACAAACCUCGGGUCCUCUCACUUGCAAGUUAAUCACAUUUUACAAUAGUGGAGAUAAAGCCAUACAAUCAUUGUCAUAAAUCUUAACUCACAAACUUGAAGGUAUUAUGGCAUAUAUCAACUAAUGUAUACCUUACAACAUAUCGUCAAUUACUCAAUUAAGAUACUAAUGGACAGUAAUCUAGUCAAAGUAAUCUUUGUGAUAGCGAUAAGUGGCAAAAGUCCACUAAGGUUUAUAGGAGACGUGGGAAGGAUAUGUCGAAUGCCCAGGCAUUGAUUUAGCAUGCUUUUGAUGACAAGGAACCAACUUGGGAGUUGGCCUGAAUCCUAUGGAGUUUAUUUUCUGAUUUCUGUCGGCAGGGGUAUUUUAGUAAUUUGAAUUAGCUGCAGGAAUUUUAUGUUUACAGUAAUUUUUGUUUAGUAGUUAUUCUUGGUAAUUAGUAAGUUGGUUGUUAUAGGGAAUAAGAAAGCUUAGCCUUCUAGCUUUCUAGUUAUAAUUCUAUUCUAGCUAGGAAUCCUAAUUAGGAUUGGAAAGAGAUUUGUCCUAGAUAGGAAUCCUAAUUAGGAUUGGAAAGGGAUUUGUCCUAGUGUCUAUAAAUAUCAACUUCUCCACAAAGAGAAGGCAGUUUUUGGUCAUUUAAUAAAAUAUUCCUGCAGACUUAACGUCUCCCUUAGGGCUGUGUGAUGCAUUCCAACUUUAGGUGUGAGGCCUAAAGAUUCCUAUGAGUGAUUCUUAGAACUACCAACCAGUUUUACCUUCUUAAGCAUAAUCUGCCAGCCUAUUUCAAGUUGCUAUUUUAAGUUCGGUGAUAUUCAAUAUAUAAGCCUUCUACAACACUGUUGUGCCCACCAAGUGUUCGUGCUGCAUCAAUUUUGGUAUCAGAGCAAGGCUUUCCCAUGACGACAAGAAGUGGGUUGAAUUUUAGAGGUCGAUACACAGACAAGGAAUGGGAUAACAUCAUUAAUCUUCUCUUAGGGAGGGUUGCUGUGUUAGAAGACAAAAUCUUUAAUACCGAGCAACAGCAAAUCCCUGAAUCUGGAGGCAACGGUGAGCCCGGAUCUGGGGACAAAAACAAUGGAAGGGAACCUGAGCAUCUCGAACAGCCUGAACACAUAAUCGGGAAACAAUCUAGUGGGAGUGAAAAUAGAAUAAAUCAAUCUUUUGGAAGGCCACAAGCUUCUCUUUUUGACAUGGCUGAUGAGAUUGUUCAAUCAGCAAGGCAAGGAAGACAAGACUCUUAUGAUUUCGCAGGAGACAUCACAAAAAAGGUAAGAGUAGAUAUCCCUGAUUUCGAUGGAAGAAUUGAUCCUAAAGUCUUUUCUGAUUGGCUCGCUACUUUGGAACGCUAUUUUGACUGGUAUGAUAUGACUGAUGAGAGAAAAGUUAAGUUUACUAUCAUGAAACUUGUUGGACAAGCCCAGGUGUGGUGGACAGGAGUCGAGCAUGAUCUUUGACUUGCUGGACAACUAGACUUGACGUGGGAAGAGAUGAAGCUGCGUUUGAAGAGAAGUACGUGCCUCUACACUAUGAAGCUGACCUUUUUGAUGACAUGACUAGCUUAAGGCAAGGAGGAAUGACAGUUGCUGAAUAUAUGAAUAAGUUUGAGGAGCUGAAAAUUCACUGCGGAGGCACCGAAAGUUCAGCACAAGCUUUAUCCAGAUUUAAGUUGGGUUUGAGACCUGAAAUUCGCAAAGAAUUGAUGGGACGGGAUAUCUACACAGUUGACAAUGCAUUCCAAACAGCUCUUAGACUGGAAAAGAGCCUGCAGCAGCCACCACUUAAGAGGAUCAAUACUCAAGGUGGGGAGGAAAUUCCUAAAAGAUUCACUGCAAACGGCAAGCCAUAUAGAUCAGCAGCAGCUCAAGCAACUUCCAAGCCUGCGGAGAACAAGACUAAGACUUCCACAAUCGAUGAAAGAAACAAGAACAAAGAUGGAUGUUUCAAGUGUGGUUUGAAGGGACACAUGGCAUGGGAGUGCCCGAACAAGAGGAACUUGCACCUUGGCGCCGAUUUCAGAGAUAAGGAAAAUCUAGAGGUCCAGGAAGAUGAAGGUGCUGAUUAUUUGACUGAGAUAGCGCAACUUAAUGUUGAUGAUUUGGAAGACGAAGAAGAAGACACGUCUUAUCUCUCGGUUGUGAGGCGUCUCCUUAGUGCACCAAAGUCACAAAAGGAAGACUGGCGAAGAACUUCAAUCUUUCAAACUUUAGUGUGCUGUGGGCAAGAGACUAGAAAGCUAAUUAUUGAUGGUGGCAGCAGCAUGAAUGUGGUUUCAGAAUCUACCGUAUAACGGUUAAAUUUGCCUACAGAGCCACAUCCUGAACCUUACAAGGUUGCUUGGAUCAACAGUAGCUCUAUACCAGUAACGAGACGUUGCUUGGUGUCCAUUAAACAUGGACCAUACAGCGAUACUAUAUGGUGUGACGUUAUUCCAAUGACCGUUUCCCACAUACUUCUUGGUCGACCUUGGCUAUAUGAUCGAGAUGUGAAUCAUAAUGGAAAGUGAAAUACUUACUCAUUCAAGUUUAAUGACCAGCAGAUUGUCUUAAAGCCUAUGAGUGCUGAAACUAUGAAGAAGUUUCAUGAGAAGAAACCAACCAAACAAGAGAAGCCAGGAGUUAAUGAAGUGAUCGAGACAAGGAAGAAACCUCUUCAGAUUUUGAGCAAGAAGCAAUUUGAAAGGGAGAGCAAGGAGCAAGGAGUUAUUAUGGUAUUAGUCUUCAGGGAGGUGAACAUUUCAGCAGUUGUCAUCUCUGAAGAAGUGCCUCCAGAAAUUGUCAAAUUGCUGUCCGAUUUUUCUGAUGUAGCUCCUGAAGAUUUGCCUCAUGGACUACCACCUAUGCGUGAUAUCCAGCAUGCAAUAGAUUUGAUACCAGGCUCUCAACUUCCUAACUUGCCUGCCUAUCGCAUGAACCCGAGUGAGUCUGCUGAACUUAAGAGACAAGUAGAGGAGCUCUUGGACAAAGGACAUAUUCAAGUCAGCCUAAGUCCUUGUGCAGUGCCGGCUUUAUUGACUCCAAAGAAAGACGGAACCUAGAGAAUGUGUGUAGAUAGCCGUGCAAUCAACAAGAUAACAAUCAAGUACAGGUUUCCCAUACCCAGACUUGAUGAUAUGAUUGAUAUGAUGGCUGGGUCAACUAUCUACACUAAAAUUGACUUGCGAAAGGGGUACUAUCAAAUCAGAAUUCGUCCAGGUGAUGAGUGGAAAACAGCCUUUAAGACGAAGGAUGGUCUCUAUGAGUGGCUAGUGAUGCCAUUUGGCCUCUCUAAUGCUCCCAGCACCUUUAUGAGAUUCAUGACGCGGGUAUUUCAGCCCUUUAUUGGCCGUUUUGUGGUUGUCUAUUUCGAUGAUAUCUUAAUUUACAGCAAGAACAAAGAGGAGCACAUUAACCAUCUUCAACAAGUAAUAAGAGUUCUUCGUCAAGAAAAACUCUAUAUCAACUUGAAGAAGUGCACCUUCAUGGCUCCUAGUGUGGAAUUUUUGGGUUUUGUCAUUUCAAAUGAAGGGAUAGCUGCUGAUCCAGGAAAAGUGAAGGCAAUAGUAGAUUGGCCAGUUCCUACUAAUUUGAAGGAGGUUCGCAGUUUCCAUGGGCUAGCUUCAUUCUAUAGGAGAUUUAUAAGGGGGUUUAGCUCUAUUAUGGCUCCCAUCACUGAUUGCAUGAAGCAGGGACAGUUUCAAUGGGCAAAAACUACGGCUAAGGCUUUUGAAGAAUUAAAGAAGCGAAUGACCGAAGCUCCAGUGCUUAGGCUGCCAGAUUUUUCUAAGGUGUUUGAGAUCGCAUGUGAUGCUUCUCAUGUCGGGAUUGGUGGAGUUCUAAGUCAAGAAGGUCAUCCUAUAGCUUAUUUUAGUGAAAAGCUGAAUGAGGCAAAGCAGAAAUACUCCACUUAUGACAAGGAAUUCUACGCUGUUAUUCAAUCUAUUCGCCAUUGGCAUCAUUAUCUUAUUUAUAAGGAAUUUGUCCUAUAUACUGAUCAUGAGGCCCUCAAAUAUAUAAAUUCUCAAAAGAAGUUGAGCCAUCGGCAUGGCAAAUGGGUUUCUUUCCUGCAACAAUACAAUUUUGUUAUCAAACACAAGGCAGGUGUUGAAAAUAAGGUGGCUGAUGCACUAAGCCGUGUGCAUCUUAUCCUCACCACUAUGGCUGUUCAAGUAAUUGGGUUUGAUUCACUUAAGCAAGAUUAUCCUCAUUGUAGAGAUUUCAACGUCAUAUAUGAGGAUUUAAUGGCUGGUAAACAAGCACAAUAUGCUGGUUUUUCCAUCCAUGAUGGCUAUCUUUUCAAGGGGACUCUACUUUGUGUUCCUAGCACUUCACUAAGGGAGGAGUUAAUUUGGGAAUUACACGGUGGAGGUGCUGCUGGACACUUUGGACGCAAAAAGACAAUUGCCAUGGUGCAAGAUCGCUUCUAUUGGCCAAGUAUAAGACGGGAUGUUGGCAAGACUGUUGGUAGAUGCCGAAUUUGUCAAUUGGCCAAAGGGCGAAAGAAAAACACUGGUCUUUACAUGCCACUACCCAUUCCACAUGAACCGUGGCAGGAUUUGAGCAUGGAUUUUGUACUUGGACUACCAAGAACAUUGCGAGGUUAUGAUUCUAUACUAGUAGUUGUGGACAGAUUUUCAAAAAUGGCUCACUUCCUCCCAUGUGCUAAGACUUCAGAUGCUGUCCAUAUCGCUAAGAUUUUCAUCAAAGAGAUAGUUAGACUUCAUGGACUGCCCAUGACUAUAGUUUCAGACAGGGAUGUGAAGUUUAUGAGUUACUUUUGGCGGACUUUGUGGAAGAUGCUGCACACUAAAGUCAAGUUUUCUUCUUCUUUCCACCCACAAACGGACGGUCAGACAGAAGUUGUUAACCGCAGCCUUGGUGAUCUACUUCGGUGUUUGGUUGGUGAUCAUGUUUCCAAUUGGGAUCAAAUUCUACCAAUGGCAGAAUUUGCUUACAAUAGUUCAGUGAAUCAUUCAACUGGUUAUAGUCCUUUUGAGGCUGUAACGGGAAAUAAUCCUCGCAAACCAAUUGAUUUGCUUCCAUUACCAGUUAGUGCUCGUCCAAGUGCUGAAGCUGAGGCUUUUUCUAAACAUAUUUUGGAUAUACAUGAUGAAGUUCGACGCCGGAUUGCUACCAGCAAUGAAAGGUACAAGGCACAUGCGGAUUUGAAGAAGAAAUUCGCAGAAUUUGAAGAAGGGGAUGAAGUAAUGGUUCGUAUGCGGCCAGAGAGGUAUCCUAAGGGCAUCUACAAGAAGCUACAUUCAAGAAGUGCAGGCCCCUUCAAGGUUCUCAAGAAAAUCAGCUCAAAUGCUUAUGUUCUUGAGUUACCCGAUGAUAUGGGGAUUAGCAAUGUGUUCAAUAUUGAAGAUUUGACUGCUUAUAAUGGGCAUUUAGACGAUUCAGCAGGUGGGACUUCUAAGGCUGCUCUUCCACCUCCUACACGCUUACGUGAAGCAAUUGAAGAUGUUCUUGACCACCAAAUUGUGUCCACUAGAGGGGGUGGUUACCAAAAGUUUCUUGUUCAUUGGAGGGGACGCCCACGCACAGAUUGUACAUGGAUUACCGAAUCUGAAUUUCAGAAGUUGGAUCCAGAUUUCUAUGAGAGGUAUCAGGCCAUUAACUCGUCGGGGUCGAGUCUUUUCAAGCCGGGGAGAGAUGAUAGCGAUAAGUGGCAAAAGUCCACUAAGGUUUAUAGGAGACGUGGGAAGGAUAUGUCGAAUGCCCAGGCAUUGAUUUGGCAUGCUUUUGAUGACAAGGAACCAACUUGGGAGUUGGCCUGAAUCCUAUGGAGUUUAUUUUCUGAUUUCUGUCGGCAGGGGUAUUUUAUUAAUUUGAAUUAGCUGCAGGAAUUUUAUGUUUACAGUAAUUUUUGUUUAGUAGUUAUUCUUGGUAAUUAGUAAGUUGGUUGUUAUAGGGAAUAAGAAAGCUUAGCCUUCUAGCUUUCUAGUUAUAAUUCUAUUCUAGCUAGGAAUCCUAAUUAGGAUUAGAAAGGGAUUUGUCCUAGAUAGGAAUCCUAAUUAGGAUUGGAAAGGGAUUUGUCCUAGUGUCUAUAAAUAUCAACUUCUCCACAAAGAGAAGGCAGGUUUUGGUCAUUUAAUAAAAUAUUCCUGCAAACUUAACGUCUCCCUUAGGGCUGUGUGAUGCAUUCCAACUUUAGGUGUGAGGCCUAAAGAUUCCUAGGAGUGAUUCCUAGAACUACCAACCAGUUUUACCUUCUUAAGCAUAAUCUACCAGCCUAUUUCAAUAUAUAAGCCUUCUACAACACUGUUGUGCCCACCAAGUGUUCGUGCUGCGUCACUCUGCUUUGUGGUAAAGCCCUCAGGCAAGUUUAGACACAAUUGAUUAGAACUCUCUCUCUCUCUCUCUCUCUCUCAUCCCCCCCCUCCCCCAAUCCCCAAAAAAAAUAUAUAUAUAUACAUACACAUAGAGGUUCCCAUUUAAAUGGAAGAAUGAAAUAUCACCAGCAGUUUAUAUUAGAAAAUUGACGCAUGAUGAGGCACCAAAUGUGUAAAACUUCAGAUUGAGAUUCCCAACCACUUUUCCCUACCUAACUGUUUUUCCUAACUUCAAGAAAGAUGAAGUUAAUUCUAGUUCAUACAAGCUUGGUGUUCUCAUGUGAAACCUAUGAUAAAGAGGUGUCACUGUUAUGUUGUUAAUCAACAAAAGACAUGGUGCUUCACGCUUUUGACAAUGGUCCAUUCUUAAAAGAUCAACGAAAAACUUGGAAUCGAAUCAAUGGCAAAGAAAGUUGUAUUCAUUCCUCUGAACUAUGCAUCUUAAAUACCAAUUAUAUCUCAAGCGAUCAAUCACAUUAAAUCUAUGAAAAAUGCCUUACAUCUUACUACACUUCAAUAAUCAUGUCAUUCCACACAAGUCUCGUAAGCUACUGAUAAAGUGAUUAAUAAAGGAAAAAAGACAAAAGACAAAAAGAAAAAAGGAACGUUUGCUCUAACCUCAAUGAAAUAUCCAGUGCCAACGUCCACAAGCACCUUGUCAGCAUCAUCCAGUGUUCCCGGAACAUAAAGCGAUGCCGUCAAAGGCACCAGCAUUUUCUUCCCUAAAAAUUAACUAAUGCAUGAAGACCAAUAAUAUCUCAUUCAAAAAAGUGGAAAAAAUAAACUUGGAAUUACAUAUAACAAAAACAAAAACUUGCCAACAACUAAAUGAACCAAUCGAUGUACUGAAACUCAACAAUUCGCUCAAAAUUGGUUAAUUACGGCAACAAAGCAGCUUGAAAAUUUUCAAAAAGUGCUCUAAUUGCAUUGAAAUUUCUGAAGAAAAAAACAAUUAAUAAUAACGAAAAACAAAAAAGCAAAGAGGAAAAGAAGCUAGCAGAGCCGGAAUGGGACCUUGGGGCCGGAGGGAGAGGUCAUUCAGAGCAUUUGAGGCGAUGUCGAGACGAGCAGUGGCAGUGCGGAUGUUGCUAAGGCUGUCUUGGAGAAGAUUGACUUCGAGAUCGGCCUGUUCUUUUACGGCUCUUAACUGCUCCAUGCUUAACUUAUCUAACUCCGUCGUCACCGGUGCGGUGGUUUUUGGCCCGCCGGCGCCUCCUCCGAUUCCGAUCCCCUUCGACGACGCCAUUUUCCUUUUCUUUCUGCUGGUAUUGCUGACCUUUGGUACCCCAAUUCUGACUUUGCUGCCCUUUUGUGUGCAGUCCUGCUUGGGCUGAUUAGAAUCUAUGUUUUCACAACCGGAUAGUAUCGACUCGGUCAAGUUUAGAGGUCAAGGUGAAUAGAUUCAAUCGUUUUAAUAAGGAUUGAAUCAAAUGACGUCAUAAAUAAAAAUUAUUUAAAAAUUAAAAUAUUAUAAUUAAAAUACCUAAUAACAUGUUAAUAUUAAUAAAGAUAUAUUCAUAUAUAUUUGAUGUUUUAAAUAUAUUUAACAAGAAAAUACAAAGAAAUUAGAACAAUCAAAUAACAAUUUAUAUUAUUUAAUGAUCAUUAACAAGUUUAGAAUUAAAAUUAUGGAUUUAAUUGAAAAAUAAUACCAAACUUUAAGAAAAUAUUGAUAAAGUAUGAAAUAUUUGAGAUAUAUUAAUAAUUUUUAAUAAUUUAGGGGCCAAAACAUAAUAUUGAAAAUGUUUGAGUUUUUUUUUUUUUUUAAACUGUUUGAACCGGCAAAUCCGGUUUUUCCAGGUCAAACCCGAUUUUUGACCGGAUUUUUAAUUAUUCGAUUUUUAAACGUGACUCGAACCGGACAUUUGAUCGGUUUCCAGUUCGACCGAUUGAACCGAUCGAUUCGGUCCGAAUUUUAAAACACAAAUUACAAUUGAUGCCCUUAAGCUAUAUCUAGUUCUUUAUUCAUCCCAAACUUUUUACUUGCUAUCACUUAAUCCUAUGAUAGAUGUCAAUGUCUAGGGAUAAGAGAUAUUUGAAAUAAUGACUAGAUGUGAUGUAUGUGAGAUAAAAUGAUAGUUAAGAAAAUAAAAAAAAAUUGAUUGAAAAAUGGGUUUGUAAUUCAAGGUUUAUGUCCCACUUCUUUGUAUUUUAUUAAAUAAUUAAUCAAAUUACAUAUUUAACAUCAAAAGUACCUCUCUUUUCUUUCUACGUAACUAGGGUUUUCCCAGGCACUCUUCCAUGGCUGCUUCAGCUACCCUUCAGCCGUCAACUGGAGGUCAACCAUCUUCCUCUACUUAUCCGACUUUUCAUAAUAAAUCUUUUUUGUCAUUAUUUCAUCCGAAACAAUAUUCACCAAUGGAGCUUCAUAAAACAACUAGGAGGGGGGAACCUGCGGUGGUUUUCUCUUCUACUAAUUCAAUUAUCCUUGGGAGGGAAGCUCUCAAAGGGACUUCUGCUGAUGGAAGAAAUUCAUAAGUUUUUCACAACUCUAGAUUUAAAAGAUGCUUUCUCUAUUGGUCUCUUAGACAAUCGACAUGUGUUGAUUCAAUUAAAAAGUGAGCAUGAUUUUCAUCGCUUAUGAGGGAGAAAUAUAUGAUACGUUUUUAGUUAUCCUAUGAGGGUGUUUAAAUGGACUACAUCUUUUCAUGUUGACACGAAACCAUCUAUUGUUCCUGUGUGGUUUUGUUUCCCUAAAUUGCUUGUUCAUUAUUUCAAGAAAGAGUGUUUGUUUCAUAUAGUUUCUUGUUUGGGUCGGCCAUUGUUCAAGGAUACUAUAACAAUUUCUUUGUCUCAGCCUAGUAUGGUUAGGGUGUGUCUGGAGAUUGAUCUCCUAAAGCCACUCCCUAGCUGUGUCUGGGUUGAAGUUGCAACUGGUGAAUCAGAGGGUUUUUGGCAACUGUUAGAGUCAAAAGAUUUGCCUAAGUACUGUACUUAUUAUUUUCGUCAAGGUCACGAAUAAGAUGGCUGCCGAAUUAAGCAUCUGAAGUUGAAAGUUUCAAAACUCCAGGAUUUGGGGGAACAAAUUGAAUCAAAAGGAAGACAAGAUAGGAAAAAAACAAGGAGUUUUGACAGAAACAAACUCUUGUAUUAUCGGGAGUGGAGGUUAGUGGUGCGACAAGCUCAGCUAUUCCAACCGAUAGUGGUGUGGCAAAUCCUACUAUCGGUUGUGGUGUUGACAUACAACCUAUUGCUUCUUCAGAUGCAAGGGGUUUGUCCGUUGCAAGUCCCGAACAUGUGACACCUUCGAUUGUUGAAGUUGGUUCUACAUAGGAGAUCUCUCAUAUUAUGGCAUCGAUCUCAGAAGGUCAAGUUUCAACUGGUCUUGUGAAUUCGAUGAGCCUACUAGUGUUGUUUGCGUCAUUAGGGGAUAAGUCCCUUGUCCCAGCUCAAUUUGAUUCAGCAGUUAUUACUUUAGAAAAAGAUUCGUUGGGGGAGGGUUGUUAUUCCCUCUACAGGAGUUCAACAGUGGUUGUUUGAGUUUCCGAAUUUUCAAUAGUUUCCAACAUUGUCAGCAUUCCUUUUUCUACUUCACUACAAACAAAUUUCUCGACUUGUGUAGUAGGGUCUUCAACGCUUAAGGGUUUGGUGGAUGAAACUAUUUUAGUGGUUGCUAAAAAUUAUAGAGAAUGUGGCUAAUCAAAUUUUAACUUAUUCCUCCCUAGAUGAUAGUUGUGAUUCGAAUUGGGGGAAUUUGGAUAUUGUAGAGUUGGAAAAGAAUUUGGCUGCUUAUAUGAAUUUGUCGACUCGUAAGCCACCCCUAGAGUCGAUGGAAGAUUGCAUAGAUGUUUAGAUGGUCUUAAAAAGUUUGAUGAUUGGUAGCCUAUGGUUAGCAAAAAAUCACAUAAGAUGAUAGCUUUGUGUCCUUCUGCUUUUUCUUUAAUUCCUUCCCAAUGAUUAAAGCUUUAUUUUGGAAUGCUAGAGGCAUGCGAAAAUCUUUAACUUUGGCUAGAUUAUGUAAGUUUCAUUGGUUACAUGGUUUUUCUUGCUUAGCAUUGUGUGAACUAUUAUUGAUAUAUCUAAAUUGGAGGAGUAUAGAUGUGAUGCCCCCACUUCUUCCUAAGACGAACCAAAAGGUAUCGGCGAGACGCCUGCCCAACUCUCGCUAGGACUCAGAACAAUUUCAGUUCAAACAUGAUGAGAACAUGAAGAUUUGGAUUCCUUUCAUGUCCAAGAAAAUUCAUUUUAUAAGUCUUCAUAUUCCAAAGAUGGUUGAUGGUGCAAUCGGGCUCGAGAAUCAUUGAAGAUCCAACCCCGUGUCAUGUGUAUUUCUUGUUAUUUAUUUAAUUAAGUUUUCAGCAAAUAUUGUUAGUUAAUUAGAGUUAGUCUUAAGUUAUUUUUGAGUCCUUAAUAAGAGGAAUAAAGGCUAAGGUCAUGUUUACCAUAGUUAAGCCUAUUUGAGUUAGUUUUCUAUUCUAGUUGAAUUAGAGUUUUAGGAAAGUAAUUAAUUGCUUCUAAAUUUAUUUAGGAAGUUGUGUCAAGUUUAGAAGUCAAGUCAAAUAAGGAAACUUGUAUUGUUUCCAAUUUAGAUUAGGAUUUUGAGUCUUGUAAGACUAUAAAUAGCCAAACUUAUGAUAUUUCAAGAGGAAGACAAUUAUGAAUAAAAUUUGAGAGUUUUUCUUUUUCAUGUUUAUUUGGAAACGUUCCUUGAUACAAAGUGAGUCAUGUCUCCUUUGUUCAAGUUUUGGCUUAUCAAUUCAAGAUCAUGUUGAAUUGUGGCGCCAUUCUACUGUUCUAAACAAUCUCGAGCUGUCCUUGAUUGGUUUAGAAUCCGUCUUUUGUACCCAUAACCUGAUCAAGAUAGAUCAUUUCGCUGCCUGAUCGAUUCGAUUUCUUCUCGAGUAGUCCUUGAAGAAUCGGGUUCGUAUCAGAGCGGUUCCAGGCACCAAAUCGAUCUUAAAUUCUAUUUUCCUCUCUGGUGGCAUAUACUUCAACUCGUCGGGGAAGACAUCGGAAAAUUCAUUCACUACUAACACAUCUUUCAGUUUCACCUUAUCUCCAGGGGUAUUAAUCAAGAAAGAUAAAUAACCUUGCGCCCCUUUACUUAAUAAUUUCCUGGCUCAAAUUCCCGAAACAAGUUCAGACGAGGCUAACCUACCCGUCACAUCCAACUUUAGAGUUGCCUCUCCGGGUAUCGAGAAUUCUACCACUUUAGUUUUACAGUUCAACUGAGCAUUAUAACGGGCCAACCGAUCCAUGCCUAUAAUCACGUUGUAUCUCUUAAGGUCUAAACUUAUCAAGUCUCCCAUAAACUUCCGUUCUCCUACCCAAAUCUCAUGAUUUUUAUAAACCAUAGUCCCAAGUCAAGCUAGGCCAUUCAGCUAGCCAAAAUUAGGGUUUUUCAGAUUUGGUACAGUUUGGGAAUUGGACUAUAUCUAUCUCAAUACAACUUGAAAUUGAAAAUGGUUGGUGGCAUUGGAAACUACAUUCAACAGGCUACAUUUCAUCAGAAGGAGUCAUUUUGAAAUUCAGUUUGCAAAUGAGAGAAAAUGGAGCCACAAUUGGAAGCUUCUACAAUUUAUCGAUUGCACUGACAGAACAGGGCAGUCGACUUUGAUCAGUCACUACAGAUGACUCACUUCGAAUUAAAAGGUGCAUAUACACCGUUAGAAAAAUACGAAUGUCUAGUUUUAAAUUCCACAAACGGCACUUGAUUUUGAUGUCCAAGCAGAGAGUUAUGAUCAUUCAAAGAUGCUCUGUCUAGAACACCCGAACGCAAUUUUCCAGAUUUGUACCAUUUCGAAAUUCCAACUUUUACUCAACCAAUUCACAUGAUUUUUGGUGAAAAAUUUCCAUACAUCAUAUACAACAUAUCUACAUCAGAUUAAAGGUCAAUUGAGCAUCAAAAAUUCGAGCUAAAGGUUCAAGAAAAACAGGACAAAUUUCGGCCUCUUCCUAUACAAUCUUCCUUUGGUUUUCUUUUCACUUUUCUAACUUAUAUCCACUUGAUUAACACAUAAUUAACACCAACAACACUCAUAAUCACCAUAUCAGUUCAAUAUAUCCAUUAUGGAAUUUCAUAGAACCCACUCCAACAUUUAAACUCAAUCCACAACAAUAACCAUGAAGCUACAAGCUUCCUAGCAAAAUUUAACCAACUAGAACUAAGAUAAAGUGACCGGAUGAUUACCUUCUAAUCCUUUGUGUAAAAUCAGAAAUUUUGCACCUUUGAGUCCCAAGAAAACCGUGAGAAAGAUGUCCUCCACUAUGCCAAGGUGAAUCUCCAAGUUGUUAGAAGUUGGAUGGUGUUUUUGGAUGCAAGAUUGGAGCAAAAAUGGUGCUAGGUGAAUUUGGGUUUUCUCCUUCUUCUUCCUUGAGGGUGGCCGGCUAUGGAGUGAAGAGAGAGAGUGAAAUGGCUGAUGACCAAAGCUUCUUGGAGAAGCUUGAUGGUUGGUGGUUCAAUUUUGAGCAAAAGUCAACUUUGAGUAGUGUUUCCCGCACACGUUUUGUGUCCGUUUUCUCUCGGAUUUGUUUCAAUUGUGCACUAAACCUUUAAUGCACUUCCUUUAACACUAUUAUUAUUCACUCUUAGUAGUCUAAAAAGAUAAUUUUCUAAAGUCUUUCAAUUAGUCACGCGUGUGAAAACGCGAACUUCCGACUUGCGUGCGAUAAAGCGCAAUUUCUAAGAAAUUCUUGUAACGAUAGUAUAACUAACUAAUACUAGAGUAAUUAAGCAUAAAAAUACCUAUUUUAAGACUAACACAUGAAUCCUCAAAUCUCCAAGGCCACAGUACUCUCAAAUCGAAUAUUGUCUCCAAACGCGUAUUCACCAAAUCUCAUUAAACGAGUUUCAAAAAUUAAAUUUAUUAACGGGACAUUUUAAAAAUAUAAGCAAGUCAUAGUUCCAUGUAAAUUGUUCUAAAAGGGUUGAAAUAAAUUAUUCAAAGAAAACGGGCGAAUAAAUAUUUAAAUAAGCCAGUAAUAUGAGAUUAAAAUAAGUAAAUUUUAGGUCCUCACAGUCUUGAUGAAAUUUUGAUGCCUUAUUACUUUUCACAUGCUCUACUAUAUAUGAUCAUAGGGUUCAAGAGUGGCAUAGGAGGCGAACCUGUGAUUAAAGUGUAAAGAUUGAGAUAAGACGGUGAGUGUUUCAACUGUAUGUUAGGACCAUGUGAUUUACUUGAUUGAUGCUUCAUAUGACAUGCUGAUCGAAAUGUGACUUGUUGCUUAAAAUUGCUAGAUAUCUUGACUUGUUAUUGCAAAGGCAAGUGUGUACUUUAUCGCACUCGAUCUAACUUGAUUAAACUCUUGUAAUCUGGUUUACAAAUGAACUAAUAUACAUAUGCAUGACUUGAAAAUCGGUUGGAGAUGUUAUCUCAUCGACUAUACUCAUGAUUGGGAUCCCAAAUCCUAUCGGCUAGUUAGUCAUAUCGAGCUAGCAAGAGGCAAUUAACAAACCAUGAGAUAUGUUUCUUAUUUAAUCCACCGGAUUUUUCCUUUGGAAUCGGUAUAUUCGAGUAUUACGACCCACUUGUUUGAGGUUUUCAGGCCUGGUAGAGGGUUCAUCGAUGGACGAAAACUGGUGUAAAAUGAUGAUCUAUGGACAUUGUUUAUUGCUACAUUUCCAACAUUGACGGAGUGUCAACGGAUUUCAAAAAUGCUGCUACUGAACUGGCUGCAAGUGAAAUACUAAAUGGGACUAAGUGUUACGCCUGAAAUCUGGUAGGAGUCACCGUAUCAGCUGAAUCUACGCAUGAAUCCUGAACGGGACUAAGUUCUUUGCCUAGAACCUAGCAAAAGCCACCGUAUCAAUACUCGUAUCUUUUUCUUAUUGUGUUAAAUUGUUUAUUUGAAUAUGUGAACUUCUCUUGUUACUGACUUCUCUUGUAGUUGUUUACUUUCUUCAUUUUAAGAUUUUGAUAUAUGUGAUUGUUUAUCUUGCCAACUUGACUGUAUGUUUUCUUAGAAUCUCACUGGACUUUUAGCUCAUCCCAUUAUUUGUUUUCCUUAACAGGGAGUGGGGAUAACAUAAAAUCUUGGACUUUAUUUGGCCGGCUCUGUAUUAUGGUACUAGUCGAUUAAAUUCUUUUCUUUUGGCUUGUACUUUGGUGUGUACAUUUGGAUGAUUUGUAACAUGUAAUGUUAUAUUGAAGGAUUUUAGUUUGUUUUCCUUAAUAGGAGUUGGAAUCAUGGAUCCAAAAAAUAGUGAGUUCGAGAGAUGCAAUCUUCACUUUAAGUAAUUGCCAUCUUAUUUGUACUUAGUGAAUUGACUAAAUUACUUGUAUUUCAAUCUUUUUAGUUAUGCACAUAAGUAUGGAUGUUUUGGAAAGUUGGAUAGUUUGUAAUGUUUGAUUGAAAAAUUUCAUGCUUAUCUUGGGGUUAAUAUUAUCUCUCAAGUUAAUGUUAGUGAGUGAGUCCUGAUGAGAGUUGGACAGGCGGUCCACUAAACCUUAGGGUACACCCUAGGGGGAGGUGGGUCGUCACAGAAACAAUAAUAUCAACACUAAAUUGUGCUAACAGAGUACCUAAUUUUAGAAUGAAGCAUUCAGUCCACAAUAGGAACUACGAUUUCACAAACCAAAUCACACCAAUAGAAAAAAAAAUGAAAACCCACCUCAAGGUGAAACCACCAAGAAUAAUAGCUUCACUGGAAAACCACAUUAAAAUUCAGAGUAUAAUGGCACUACAAAUAACCAUUUACUGAAUGACAAAAGGAACAUAACGGAAGAAUGUGAAGGUGGGGCAUUCAAAGAAGUAAAAUUGAAACUGAUGCUCAGUCAUAAAUUCCUUAGCAAAUCAUGUUGUCCUGGCUUUAAUAGAGAUGAAAACAGCAUAUGAAUGCCUUCAAGUUAUAAUAGUAAAGCAAUGGUAGCAAUGGUAGUAAUUGAUAUUUUAAUUUAACUAACACAAGCCAAUCAAUGUCUCUCUAAGGACAUUUAAGUAAUUACACCAACAAAGAAGCUAUUAUGGUUUGUGUCCACUGCCGCAAAAACUAUCAAAUAAUCUCACAUUCCCCAAAUACCCAAUCCUCUAAACAAAUCACCACAGCAUCUUUUAAAAUACCUGGACAUAUUGGUAAAUACAAGAGUAUACAUGCUAUCCUAAGUAGUACCCAAUGCUAUAUCUACACUCAAAACAAUCUCACAAUCCCAAAAUGCCCCUACCCUUGUUGCUGAAAUUCAAAGCCACUCUUGGACCCAAACUUAUUCUUACAUAGUACAGGUAUUGCCCAAGUGGAUGAAUGUUAGGAUUAUUUUCUAAUUUGGGCUUCUUCUCAUUAAUAUUUUGUUUUCUCAAGAAACAGGCUAAAUGAAAAUUGGUUAAACCCACUACAGUAUAAUCCAUUAGAGUUGGGAGGUCUAUCUCAGUCAUAUAUUUGGUGUAAUAUGUAAGUCCCAUGGCCUAUAUUCAGUAGGUUCUUUAAUGGGCGGAUCCAAUUUAGAAACUAGGGUUUGGUCCCUCGUUCCAUUUAUAAUACUACAGGUUUUACAUAUAGGCUGUUAGGAGUGGUUUGCCUCAUUGAGAGCCACUAUACAAAAAUUACGGAGGGAGAGACAGCACUUAACCUAGAUACGUGAAUGUUAACGUAUUGAGUGGAUUCAUAGCAUGGAUCUAGAUCUUCUUCUCAAUCUUGUCAAGAUUCAAUGGCUACAAAUAAUGGUACACCUUGAUGUUACAGUUGUAUUCAAAAUCUAAUGUUGGGAUCCUGGAGAGUCCUACAUAUACUUCUGGGACAGUUCAUGUGCAAGUAAUAUAGGCUUCAAGUAGUUUUAGUGGCAAUCUGAUGCCUCGUGUUCUAGACUUAAGGAAUGAUCAAUGGUUAGUUUACAAACUUAAGGAAAUUCUAAAAUGUUAAUAAAAUUCAUAUUCUCUAAUUGAGUAGUGACGCUAGUAUUUGGGUGCAGUAUGAAGUAGAAGCCAUAGAGAGCCUUUGGAAGAAAACUAGAAGAUUAGGUAAAGAUCCAUAGAAAUACAACAACCAAGCGUUGUAGUUAUAUUUUGCCGGAAAACAUGUCCUAAUGUUCCAAUCUCUGUCAAAAACUCCCUUUUCAUUCCUCUCACCGUUAGAAAUUUUACUUUGCAGUUUUACUAAACUCAUCAAUUAUUUGCUCCAAUUGCAAAAUGUGAUGCCUUCUAAGGAAAAAAAGGAGAAAAAUCGAAAAGACACCCGAGCUAAAGCCAUUAGUGGCAUCAAAAAAUUUUUUUGCAUAGGAAAAUAAGGAAGCAGAGAACAUAUUUAGUGUGCGGAAAUGAGUAACAAUGAACCUUCACGGAGACUAAUCGGGGCAACAAGAUAAUAAUGUACCAGUUGAAUCCUACUCGAGAAAGUGAACUUCACCCUGGAUUUAAAAAUGUAAAAGACAUAAUUUCUUUUAAUAAUGUUUUAAAAUUACACUACUGCAGUUACCUGAAACUGAAAAAAUCAAUGUAAAUAAAAUAAUUUGAGAGAAUUUAGCGUAACAGUGAAACAAUCAAAAGACUGGAAGAAGAGCACUCAAUGCAUUAAAAAGAUUUGAAAGAUAGCUUAAUAAAGUUGUUCUUGAGAGAAAAAGGUCAUUGGAACAAGACCAUAACGAACAGAAACAUAUGCUCAUAAUUACUGACAUGCAAACUCAUAGCGGUUAGAGGUUUGGAAUAAUCCAAAUAAUUCUGAGAAGAUUGACCGAAAAUAUUCUCAUCUUCCAUCCUACAGGCAAAAACUAAUACAAAAUUAUAAAUAAAUUAUCAUAGCAAACAAAACAAAAUGGGUAUCAUUGUGAAGAGAUAGCAACAUACGAUCAUCAUCUAAGCAGAAUAGAGAUACACAUGAACCAAUAAAAACAAAAUACCGAGCAGACCUAAGAGGCAAAUCAUCAACCACUAUGGGUAAUUGUAACAAACCUGUGGUUGGAGCAAGUAAUGGGAUGUAGCUUCUUUUUUUUCUUUCGUGUUGAAGAGCUACAAACCAACCCAUUAGAACAUAGAAAAACAUUAAGACAUUAAUGUGACUAUAAAGAACCAAAAAAGGCAAAUGAAUCUUACGAAAUGGAAGAAAGAUCAAAACUCCAAGUUUUGAGUGUGUCUCUUUAUCAUUCUCUUUGUGUUUUUCUUUUCUGUCUAGCAAGUGAGUAAUUAGGAAGAAGUGAAGAAACAUUCAUCCCUACUCUAUUUUUUUUCCUUAAACCAAAUGUCUAAAUCAUCACUUACUUUUUCUAGAAAAGAAUAUUUAAUAAUCAGACAAAUGAGGGAAACUAAUUUUAAAAAAAAUAUUGAAACACGUACAAAUCCAAAACAUAGCAAAACAUCUCAUAAUACUAAGGAAUAAGAAACAAAUAGAUUAAUCAAACUCUUGAUCAUCAUUAGACUGGUUGAAAACAUAUUUUAUGGAAAAAAAUUGUCACACUUCCGUAUGUCAUAAGUUAACAAACUAACUACAAACUAACUAAAGCAAUGAACAUGGGGGAAGGUUGGGUUGGAUGGUAAGGUAGAAGGAAUUGUAAGUCGAAGAUUUUCCCACUUAUAAAAAUAAAAAAGGUAAGGUAGGAGGGAUUAUUAAAAAGAAGUCAUAGGUUCAAAACUUUCCACUUAAAAAAAAUUAUAAAAACAAACUAAAGCAAUGAACAUUCUAAACAUCAUUACGGAUCAAAUAUCAAAAACUUAGUAGACCACUAAUUUAAAGUAUACAAACUUAACUCAGAAAAGACAAUUUUUUUCAAAAUUCAAAUAUGUUGCUUGUGUGAGACCCCAAAAUUUUACUUUUUUUUUAUAAUCCUUAUGUGAACUUACUUACCUUUGAUUGUUGGUUGCUUUAAUGGUUGAAUUUGAGUCAAGGGAGUGAAUUUUGUUAAGAAAAGUUUCAUAAUCUCAAGUUGUUAGAAAAUCUAGAAAUUUUCGCAGGAGGCUCUGCGCAGCUUUGGGAAAUUGGCUAUAAUUUUGUAUAGGAAAGUCGGAAUUGAAUUCCGUUUAUUACAUUUGAAACUAGACUCAGAGGGCUUUCUACGGUGUAAAAUUUAGAGUUUGAUUCAAUGUUUAUAAAUUCUAGGAAAUUGGCAAAAUUGACUGAAAAUUCUGCCCUGCAUAAGUAAACAUAGGAAUGUUGUAGUAGCUUAUGGCUCAAUUUGGACCAACUUAUAAACUAAAUCUCUUUGAGGUGUCUUCUAAAGAUUCUUAAUAUUUGAAGUCUAGUUUUUAACAAGCCAAGUUAUAUAAAUUUUUUGUAGUUAUAACUCAAGUUAUAAUUUUUCUAAAGGAAGGGCAUAAGUUAGGGUUUUGUGCAUACUAGGGUUUUGUUGUGUGUUUUUGUGUGUAUUUUGGUAGUGUGAUUGUGAGGACUUGUAAAAUCCCUCACAUUUUCUUAAAAAUUCCCUUUUAGUUGGAAUCCAUUAUUUUACAAUAGCUUUACUACUCAUUCACUUCCUCAAUAGUUACAAUUAAUCAUAGAACCAAGGGUUUUUCCUUUUCUUUCAUCGUUAAGGUAAACUAGGGUUUUUACGUCUUUUAGUAGUGUGACUAUUCGGUAUGGAGUGUGUAUCAAAUUUGGUGAUUAAGAGUGAGUUUUAGAUGAUAUUAAGUGUAUGAUUAGAAGUGAUAAUAAUAAGUUAGUGAAUUAUAAGAUAAAACCCAAGUAUACGCGAUUUAAGGAAAAUUGGCUCGAACCGACGGGUAUCGUUUGUAGACACCAAAUUUUUGGUGCAAUUUCUUUUACUUUUUAUUCUCAUUUGUCGUGGUUGCUUUUUAGUUUUUUUAGUUUCUAGUUUUUAUUUUAUUUUUAAGUUAACGUAGAAAAAUCAUGAAAAAGAAAAAAAAAGAAGAAGAAAAAUCAUGAAAAAGAAAAAAAAGGAAAAAUCAUGGAAAAGAAAAAAAAAGGGGGAAAAUUGUUCACAAAAAUACGUUCAAAUUCAAUCUUUUGGCAUUUUGGUUUAUUUUUGUUAAUUUAUUUUGAAAAAAAAAGAAAAAAGGAAGGAAAAAGUGGAAAAUGAUGAAAAAUGAAAAAUGAAAGAAAAAGAUUGAAAAUGGCAAUUUUGUUGUUUUAGUUUGUUUAUUUUGAGAUAAAAUUGUUGUUUUUUUUAUUAUUACUUAAUUUUAUUAUCAUUUUUGUUAAAUUACUUUAAAAAAAAAAGGAAAAAGAAAACAAGCCGCGGCAUGCAAGCUGCGUUUUUUUCGCAGCUUGCAAAGAAGGACUUGGCAGCCCUUUGGCUGCAAUUUUAGAGGAAGUGGCUGGGGGUUUUAGGGUUGAAGGUACCAUAUAAAUAGAAGGAGAUUGAGAGCCGCAAAAGGGAGAGGGGAUAAGUUUUAGAAGGCAACAAAAGAAAAGGCAGCCGAGAGGAGGGUUUUGGAGACUGGAGUGACGGCAGGAAACAGAGAAAAGAGGCUGAGAUAGAGGACGGCUGAAAAGAGCUUGGGCAGAGGGGACAAUUUCUGGGGAGAGAGCCGAAAGAUAGAGAGCUAGGAGUAAGGGGCGGCUGCUUGAAGAAACGAGAGAGAAAACUAGAGAGGAUGAAGGAGAUCUGAACCAGAAAGGAAAGCUUCGGCAAGAAAAUGCAGAAAAGGACCAGAAAUGGGGGACUAAGAAAAGAAAGCAGGAACAGCCGUGGGAAGGAGAGGAAGCCGUAAAGUUGAAGGAAAGGAAGGGGAGUGGCGGAGCCAGAAAGAACAGAACUUUGACGGUGGCUAAGCAAAGACUUCCCCCUCCGAACAUAUCAAGCUUUGAUCUGCCUUUCUAAAAGGCUAAAGGUAAUGUUUUUUUCCAUUUUUGACCGUUCAUGGACUGCUGGGUUCAUACUGAAACUUUCCCUAUCAAAUCUGUUUUGUCCCCCCUUGAUAAUCUUGUUGCCUGGGGUCGGUUUACAUUGCGCUUAAAUUGGCGCGUACAAAUCUGCUGCAAUGAGUUUGAAGUUCUUAGCUUGUUGCAGCAGAGGUUGCACUUUAGCUCUCUGUAGUGGUUGGGUCUUUCAUAUGUUUUUUGGAAGGAGAUUGGUGCAUUGAAAAUCUGAUGCAACAAGCUCAACUCACGGUUUGUUGCAAUAUUAUGUGUACAUCAGAUUUUCUUUUCUUUGAUUGCUGAAGCUGUGGCUUGUUUGAUGUUUUGUUGUUGUUUGCUGCCAUGAAGAUGAUUUUGCACUAAGUGAUGUUUCUUGGCUGUCAAAAGAGAAUGAAAUGGUUUCUCCUGUACUGAGUGAUGAUUUUGCUUUAUGGUCCGAGAGUUGAGAUGUUACUCGAAUGUUCUGGUUCGGCAUCUCAAGGGAGUGUUGAUGUUUCCUGGCUGUAUUCUUUUGGUUUCCCUGCUGCAUUUCAUGUUGCACUGGUGUCAUUUUAUUUUCCCUCUCCCCUUUGUUCCAAAGUCCAGCAUACGGAUAAGGUUCUGGUUUGGGGUCUUGGUAUUUGUUGCAUGAGUUUGCUAAAAUCUAGAGGCACCAGAAAUUUCAGACGCUUCAUCAGUUGCAUGUCUACAUUUCUGCCUAGCUCCUUUAUCUAGUAUUUGUUUGCAUUAAACUUCAGCUUUUGAUUGAAGUUUGAUUAAUCAUGUCAAUUUCCAGCUUUUGUCUUGUGCGAAUUACAUUCAGUUUGGGCUGUCAAAUGUGUAUAGUUUGUUUGAGUUCUCACACACGAAUAUAUCUAUGCUGAAUUUUUUUAAAAAAAUAAAAGCUGCUGCACUUUUCUUGUUGUUUCCUCUCUGCUCACCGAGUUUUGUACAUAAAGUGCUGUUUAAUCUUAUGUUGAAGGAAGAAAAUGAAAUGUUUUGGUGUUGAGUCUGCAGUCUUUGAAUCCAAGGAAACAUAAACUAGCUUGAAUGUUGGCCAAGUAAGAUAGAUCUCCCUAAAAAUCCUGAAUAGUGGGAGAGUUUUGUUUUGUUUCUUGAAUGAAGCUAAGGUCGGCAGUUUGCUUCUAAUUCCAGAUUUCUUUCCUUCCUUUGUAUACAUGAAAUGGCAUUUUGAGUUUGAGUUUACGACAUUUUAGUGGGUGCUAGGAGGUUGGAUCCUUUUCUUUGUUAAGUUUUUUGUUUGCCGCAUAAGGUUGCUCAAGUUUCCAAAGCUUGGGUUGGCUGUUGAAAAUCUCCUCUUGUUGCAGAAAUGUUUUGUAAGUUUUUGCAUGAACUUGUUUGAGUUGUUCAAAUUUGCAUGUUCUUUGGUCAGACUUUUGGUGUUUAAAUCUACAAAUUUCAUGUUGCAAAGUGAGAGGAUUGUGUGGGAGUUUUGUUUGGAUUUGAUGGCAUUUGAAAGCUGGAUUUUAUGAAUUGCAGAAAGUGCCGAAUUGCAGAAAACUUUCAGCAGAAAUGUUUGUUGUAAAAUGCUUUCACGCCACUUUUGCAUGGAUUUGCAUGGAAAAAUGUUUCCAAAAAUUACACUUUGGCCCCCCAAGUCUCCUCUUGUCCUACUAUGACCCAAUCAAUUGAAUGAUUUCCUCAAUUUGGUCCUUGGUAGCUUUUAAUUUUACAACUCCAUUGCUUGUUUGUUUCAAUUGACUACCAUGCUUUGUUUAAAUUGCACUUAAUGCAUGAAUUUAAGAGCUUCGUGACCAUGUGAACCUGUGUUUGCAUGUUUUCUUUAAUUUUCCCAAAUAAAUUGGUACUUUGACCAUUUCUUUUAUUUUGGAGGAUUAAUAAGUGACUUCACUCCAUUAGAGUUCCAUUUCAAGGGAGGUAUAACUUCUUUUAUCUUUUUUUGUCUCUCACCUAUGUGAUCCAAUGUGCUAAAUGAGAAUUGCAUGUCUAUUUUUUUUUCUUCUUUACUUUUCCUUAAUUCCUUAAUUCAUUUCAUUUACUUUUGCUUUUUAUUUAAGUUAUUCUUUAUGGGGUAUGUGUACACCUCUUGGCUUGUAAUAGUUAGGGAUUUAAUUAUUUUAUUCCUUUUCCCCCUUUUAGAUUGUAGUAGGCCUUCUCCCCCCAAUAAUGUAAUAGUUAGGGCCUUAAUCGCUUUGUGUGACUUGCAUGCUUACGUGCUACGUGUUAACUUGCUUUGUUAGGGUCUUGCAUCUAGUCGAGCAUGCUAAAUGUUAUGUGCUAUGGGUUUAUAAGUGUUUGGCAUGUCUACUCGCUUUCCAUAGCCUGAAUGAAUGUGAUGGAUGAAUGUACGUUUCCACUAGUCCAACGCUAGUCGGAAUUCAUAGAAUGGGUUAGUCCAACGCUAGACCCUUAGGGAUUUCCCCUCGUUAGUACAUGUUUGCAUGUUCAUUACAUGUCAUGCAUUCUUUUAGUUUUAUCAUUUUGCAUGCCCCGCGAACUCCUUUUCCCUCCAUUUUAGGAUUUUUGCAUUUCAUGCUAGUUAUAGGGUUCAUUUUCUUGAGAGUCCCCUUAAAUAUGGGAUAUAGACGAGUGUGGCUUUUUCUAAGCCUUAACACGCUUGUAUUCCCUCUAUAAAAGGGCAAAUUGAGUCACGAUUUAGGUCUCCCCGUACCC